CCUGUACGCUUUGUCAAAAUGACACAAAAAUUGACACACACAUGUAUCUCAAUAAGAUCUACAAAAAAGUCAAUGCGCGCGUAUCUGUCAAAUGUACGGUUAAAGGGUUAUUCCGCAUUUUUUGCCGAUUCGCACACAUUGGAAUUUCGCUAACUCCUCCGAAGGCUUUCGUUCCACCGGCACCACAUUUGCUCAGGCCAAUCUACACCCCAUGGCCAUUAAAAGUUAUUCAAAUCAUGACGCUGCACCCCACAGUUUACGUUCUAGGGGGCGCCAAAGAUAACCCAAAAAUCCACAUUUUUAAAAGUCUUAUAACUUUUUAUUUUUGUCCUCACUGGCCUCCAAGUUUUCUAGGAUGAUGCAAUGUCCAGCCAUCAACACAUUUGUGAAGGAAUUUUUACUCCCCAAAAGAGCGCCCCCCCAUGGUAGGAGAAAAAAGUCAAUUUUUUCUUGUCCCCUUACAUGAAAAUACACAUUGUUGAGUGUCACGCCUGAACGCUUUGUCAUAUUGACACAAAAAUUGACACACACAUGUAUCUCAAUAAGAUCUACAAAAAAGUCAAAGAGCGCGUAUCUGUAUAAUGUACGGUUAAAGGGCUAUUUUGCAUUUUUUGCCGAUUCGCACACAUUGGAAUGUGGCUAUCUCCUCCUAAGGCUUUCGUCCCACCGAUACCAAAUUUGCUCAGGGCAAUCUACACCCCAUGCCCAUUCAAAGUUGUAAAAAUCAUGACGCUGCACCCCACGGUUUACGUUCUAGGGGGCGCCAAAGAUGACCCAAAAAUCCACAUUCUUAAAAGUCAUUUUGGCCACUGCAGGAGUACAGAGUACUGCAGUUCUAGGGGGCGCCAAAGAUGACCCAAAAAUCCACAUUCUUAAAAGUCUUUUUGGCCACUGCAGGAGUACAGAGUACUGCAGGAUACACACACAUAUACACACACGCCAACAUACACACACACACACACACACACACACACACACACACACACACACACACAGACACACACACACACUCAGAGUCUGUUUUUUAGCACCUGCAAAAACAUGCUGUUUACAUAUUUGACAAGAAUGCAGAGGCUUCCUUUUGCCCCUGAAAAAAAUCAAAUUUCAAACACAACUUGACUGUUCAUUUCUCCAAAAGACAACCAUGAAGCUCCAUUUCAAACCUGAAGCAGAUAGUUGGUGCAUGUGUACAGUAACCUGAGGGGAGUGAGGUGACUAUUUCUGAGGAGAACAUGAGCAGUGAAGAUUCACCUUGGAGCUAGAACAGGGACGUGCACAUGAUUAUACAGGGGCAGGGGCUCAAGUUUUUUCCAGUCAUUUAUACAAUAUGGAAAUUAAUGUGAAAUUAAACCACAAAUAUGUGUGAUGAACUGUUUUUAAAACUUAAACUUCAAAUAAAAAUUGUAAACUUCAAAACAUAUGCAAAUUUUUAACAAAGAACAUAGUAAUUUACCUCUAUUUACAUCAAAAUGCAGGCAAUGGCCCAGGCGUUCUUUGUAAAAUUAUUUACAAAACACUGUAUAGUCUCACAAAUGUCACUUUUUAUUUAUGCCACUACAAAAAAACAUGAUGUAAAUGAUGCAUGAUGUAAAACAUGAUGUAAAAAACUUGUGUAGAUCCUCCUCUAUGUCAGUCCAUGUGUAAUUUUUCCAUAAUUCUUUGUUUUUUGCAGCAUUUUUGUUAGUGUAACUGCAGAUUGUGCUGACAGUGUCUAUGGCACAAAAAAAAAAAAAAUUAAAAUGCCUCAACAUGAACCCCUGGUGGUCUCUGAGGGUGAAACCUGCUAACUGCUGCAGCUCUGUCAGCUUCAGUCUCCCAUGCAGAGCUCUGAGCGCAUGUGUGGCUCUGCACCCUUAGCAGCAUUGCUAACUCCUCAGUAAGGAAAGCCUGCUUCAUGUCAGAGUCUCUAAACUCCAGAAGAAGUCGAUAAAAGUCCCUUUCUUUCUAAAAAAAAGUCGUUAGGGGGUCUGAAAAGUCAUUGAAUCUAACAACAAAGUCGCUAGGUUUGCAACUACGUGUCCCAGACUGCAUCCCUGCUGAGAGUCCCUCCCUCCCUUCUCAUGUUGCAGGAAGAACGUAAGCGCCCGCCCCUUGUCAAUCAGUCACCAUAUAAUUUUGGAUUGGUUGUUGUGGUGAAGUUUUCCACCAAUAGGAGAGAUGUUGUGGUGUGUUUUUUUUUUUCUUUUGGCAAGCCUUUUCCGCCUGUAAGACCUGUCGCUAAUGUCUGCAUGCUAUGUUUUCCUGUCUCAUACAGCGCGAUCGAGCGCCGAACGUGAUCAAAAUAAGCAGAAAAAAAGUAUCGCGGACAUAAUUUAUCAUAACUCUGGUUUUAUUUGGCCUAUCAACACAAUUUAAAAACUGGUAUAUAGGUUGAGGUCCUCACUUUUGAGAUAAGUUGAAACGGAGAGUCAACGAGGCUCCGUCUUGCAGCUACAUCCGGUUAAAUAUGUCAUGUGACUUGAACGCACACACAGACACACACACACACACACACACAGACACACACACACACUCAGAGUCUGUUUUUUAGCACCUGCAAAAACAUGCUGUUUACAUAUUUGACAAGAAUGCAGAGGCUCCUUUUGCCCCUGAAAAAAAUCAAAUUUCAAACACAACUUGACUGUUCAUUUCUCCAAAAGACAACCAUGAAGCUCCAUUUCAAACCUGAAGCAGAUAGUUGGUGCAUGUGUACAGUAACCUGAGGGGAGUGAGGUGACUAUUUCUGAGGAGAACAUGAGCAGUGAAGAUUCACCUUGGAGCUAGAACAGGGACGUGCACAUGAUUAUACAGGGGCAGGGGCUCAAGUUUUUUCCAGUCAUUUAUACAAUAUGGAAAUUAAUGUGAAAUUAAAAACAAAGUAUUAAUAGAAAGGUAAUGACUGUCCUGUGUAGGUGACAGUGAUAUCCAAUAGGCUAGGCACUCACGAGGCUGGCUGUGGCAAGUGUAAUUGAAAGCAACACGCACUGGCAGGAAGAACAGCAAACACCGAUGAAGGAAAAGGGUCUUUGCAGUGAUGGGCGUUACAAGAGAGGGCGACGGCCAGAAGACGCAAAUGGGACGGGGAGGCGGUCUCGCUGGGGGCGGCGCGACACGGCUCGGGCCCGCCAGUGCCCCAACGGGGCCCUAGUUUCUUUUUCCUCCCCUUUGAACUGGAAAAUGGCCCACUUCCCACUGGCGAAAACUCAUGAAAUUUGGCAGGACGACCGGGCCUUGUGAAAAAUUCGAUAUUCUGAAGUCGCCCAAACAAUAAAAUGCAAAAUGGCUCCAUAGCGCCCCCUAAGGUGGAAAUUCACACUAUUGACUGUCACGCCUGUACGCUUUGUCAUAUUGACACAAAAAUUGACACACAUAUGUAUCUCAAUAAGAUCUACGAAAAAGUCAAUGCGCGCGUAUCUGUCAAAAUUACGGUUAAAGGGUUAUUUCGCAUUUUUUGCCGAUCCGCACACAUUGGAAUUUCGCUAACUCCUCCGAAGGCUUUCGUUCCACCGGCACCACAUUUGCUCAGGCCAAUCUACACCCCGUGGCCAUUAAAAGUUAUCAAAAUCAUGACGCUGCACCCCAAGGUUUAGGUUCUAGGGGGCGCCAAAGAUAACACUAAAAUCCACAUAUUUAAAAGUCUUAUAACUUUUUAUUUUUGUCCUCACUGGCCUCCAAGUUUUCUAGGAUGAUGCAAUGUCCAGCCAUCAACACAUUUGUGAAGGAAUUUUUACUCCCCAAAAGAGCGCCCCCCCAUGGCAGGAGAAAAAAGUCCAUUUUUUCUUGUCCCCUAAGGUGAAAAUACACAUUGUUGAGUGUCACGCCUAUACGCUUUGUCAAAAUGACACAAAAAUUGACACACACAUGUAACUCAAUAAGAUCUACGAAAAAGUCAAUGCGCGCGUAUCUGUCAAAUGUACGGUUAAAGGGUUAUUCCGCAUUUUUUGCCAAUCCGCACACAUUGGAAUUUCGCUAACUCCUCCGAAGGCUUUCUGUCCACCGGCACCACAUUUGCUCAGGCCAAUCUACACCCCAUGGCCAUUAAAAGUUAUUCAAAUCAUGACGCUGCACCCCACGGUUUAGGUUCUAGGGGGCGCCAAAGACAACCCUAAAAUCCACAUAUUUAAAAGUCUUAUAACUUUUUAUUUUUGUCCUCACUGGCCUCCAUGUUUUCUAGGAUGAUGCAAUGUCCAGCCAUCAACACAUUUGUGAAGGAGUUUUUUCUCGUUAAAAGAGCGCCCCCCCGUGGCAGGAGAAUAAAGUCAAGUUUUUCCUGUUCAUCAUUCAAUGGCUCAAACGCACUGCUCUCUCGGCAAAAGCGAAAGGAGGAGCAACUUGCCAUUUGGAUAUAUCUUAGCUGUCUUUGUGCCCUCACUCAUGGUCCAGACUUUUUUCAAAUAGGACAUGGAGUUUUUCUGCAGCGAGCGUUUUGGUAGAAACUGCGCCUCCCGUUCAUUAUAAUGGUAAAUGACCACAAACAAGUGCGCACACCAUCUUUGGACCUUGAGUGUGACGCGAUCGGGUGGGGGAGGCGGUCGCGCUUGGGGCGGCGUGACACGGCUCGGGCCCGCCAGUGCCCCAACGGGGCCCUAGUUAGGGCCCGAGCGUAGCUGCUAAGCAGCUGCGAGAGCCCUCUUGUUCCUGAUGGAUUCUUCUUUCGUUAUUUUUCCUCCGCUUUAAACUGGAAAAUGGCCCACUUCCCACUGGCGAAAACUCAGGAAAUUUGGAAGGACGACCGGGCCUGGUGAAAAAUUUGAUAUUCUGAAGUCGCCCAAACAAAAAAAUGAAAAAUGGCUGCAUAGCGCCCCCUAUGGUGAAAACUCACCUGACGCCUGUACACUUUGUCAAAAUGACACAAAAUUUGACACACAUGUGUAUCUCAAUAAGAUCUACAAAAAAGUCAGUGCGGACGUAUCUGUCAAAUGUACCGUUAAAGGGCUAUUUCGCAUUUUUUGCCGAUCCGCACACAUUGGAAUUUCGCUAACUCCUCCGAAGGCUUUCGUUCCACCGGCACCACAUUUGCUCAGGCCAAUCUACACCCCAUGGCCAUUAAAAGUUGUACAAAUCAUGAUGCUGCACCCCACGGUUUACGUUCUAGGGGGCGCCAAAGAUAACCCAAAAAUCCACAUUCUUAAAAGUCUUAUAACUUUUUAUUUUUGUCCUCACUGGCCUCCAAGUUUUCUAGGAUGAUGCCAUGUCAAGCCAUCAACACAUUUGUGAAGGAAUUUUUACUCCCCAAAAGAGCGCCCCCCAUGGCAGGAGAAAAAAGUCAAGUUUUUCUUGUCCCCUAACAUGAAAAUACACAUUGUUGAGUGUCACGCCUAAACGCUUUGUCAUAUUGACAAAACAUUUGACAAUCACGUGUAUCUCAAUAAGAUCUACAAAAAAGUCAUAGAGCGCGUAUCUGUAUAAUGUACGGUUAAAGGGCUAUUUUGCAUUUUUUGCCGAUCCGCACACAUUGGAAUUUCGCUAACUCCUCCGAAGGCUUUCGUUCCACCGGCACCAAAUUUGCUCAGGCCAAUCUACACCCCAUGGCCAUUAAAAGUUGUACAAAUCAUGACGCUGCAACCCACGGUGAAGGUUCUAGGGGGCGCCAAAGAUAACCCAAAAAUCCACAUUCUUAAAAGUCUUAUAACUUUUUAUUUUUGUCCUCACUGGCCUCCAAGUUUUCUAGGAUAAUGCAAUGUCCAGCCAUCAACACAUUUGUGAAGGAAAUUUUACUCCCCAAAAGAGCGCCCCCCCAUGGCAGGAGAAAAAAGUCUAUUUUUUCUUGUCCCCUAAGGUGAAAAUACACAUUGUUUAGUGUCACGCCUGUACGCUUUGGCAAAAUGACACAAAUAUUAACACACACAUGUAUCUCAAUAAGAUCUACGAAAAAGUCAAAGAGCGCAUAUCUGUCAAAUGUACGGUUAAAGGGUUAUUCCGCAUUUUUUGCCGAUCCGCACACAUUGGAAUGUGGCUAACUCCUCCUAAGGCUUUCGUUCCACUGGCACCACAUUUGCUCAGGCCAAUCUACACCCCAUGGCCAUUAAAAGUUAUUCAAAUCAUGACGCUGCACCCCACGGUUUAGGUUCUAGGGGGCGCCAAAGAUAACCCUAAAAUCCACAUAUUUAAAAGUCUUAUAACUUCUUAUUCUUGUCCUCACUGGCCUCCAGGUUUUCUAGGAUGAUGCAAUGUCCAGCCAUCAACACAUUUGUGAAGGAAUUUUUACUCCCCAAAAGAGCGCCCCCCCAUGGCAGGAGAAAAAAGUCCAUUUUUUCUUGUCCCCUAAGGUGAAAAUACAUAUUGUUGAGAUUCACGCCUAUACGCUUUGUCAUAUUGACACAAAAUUUGACAAUCACGUGUAUCUCAAUAAGAUCUACGAAAAAGUCAAUGGGCGUGUAUCUGUCAAAUGUACGGUUAAAGGGCUAUUUUGCAUUUUUUGCCGAUUCGCACACAUUGGAAUGUGGCUAACUCCUCCUAAGGCUUUCGUCCCACUGACACCAAAUUUGCUCAGGCCAAUCUACACCCCAUGGCCAUUCAAAGUUGUAAAAAUCAUGACGCUGCACCCCACGGCUCACGUUCUUGGGGGCGCCAAAGAUGACCCAAAUAUCCACAUUCUUAAAAGAAUCCACAUCCCCCCCCCCAUCCCCCAUCCCCCAUGGCAGGAGAAACAGUCAAGUUUUUCCUGCCCAUCACUCAAUGGCUCAAUCGCAUCGCUCUCCCGGCAACACCGUAACAAGGAGCAACUUGCCGUUUGGAUAUAUCCUAGCUGUGUUUGUGGCCUCACUCAUGGUCCAGACUUUUUUCAAAUAGGACAUGUAGUUUGUCUGCAGCGAGUGUUUUGGUAGAAACUGCGCCUCCAAUUCAUUAUAAUGGGAAAUGACCACAGACAAGUGCGCACACCAUCUUUGGACCUUGAGUGUGACGCGAUCGGGAGGGGGAGGCGGUCGCACUGGGGGCGGCGCAACGCGGCUCGGGCCCGCCAGUGCCCCAACGGGGCCCUAGUUUCUUUUUCCUCCCCUUUGAACUGGAAAAUGGCCCACUUCCCACUGGCGAAAACUCAUGAAAUUUGGCAGGACGACCGGGCCUGGUGAAAAAUUUGAUAUUCCGAAGUCGCCCAAACAAUAAAAUGCAAAAUGGCUCCAUAGCGCCCCCUAAGGUGAAAAUUCACACUAUUGACUGUCACGCCUGUACGCUUUGUCAAAAUGACACAAAAAUUGACACACACAUGUAUCUCAAUAAGAUCUACAAAAAAGUCAGUGCGGGCGUAUCUGUCAAAUGUACGGUUAAAGGGCUAUUUCGCAUUUUUUGCCGAUCCGCACACAUUGGAAUUUCGCUAACUCCUCCGAAGGCUUUCGUUCCACCGGCACCACAUUUGCUCAGGCCAAUCUACACCCCAUGGCCAUUAAAAGUUAUUCAAAUCAUGACGCUGCACCCCACGGUUUAGGUUCUAGGGGGCGCCAAAGAUAACCCUAAAAUCCACAUAUUUAAAAGUCUUAUAACUUUUUAUUUUUGCCCUCACUGGCCUCCAAGUUUUCUAGGAUGAUGCAAUGUCCAGCCAUCAACACAUUUGUGAAGGAAUUUUUACUCCCCAAAAGAGCGCCCCCCCCAUGGCAGGAGAAAAAAGUCCAUUUUUUCUUGUCCCCUAAGGUGAAAAUACACAUUGUUGAGUGUCACGCCUGUACGCUUUGUCAAAAUGACACAAAAAUUGACACACACAUGUAUCUCAAUAAGAUCUACAAAAAAGUCCAUGCGCGCGUAUCUGUCAAAUGUACGGUUAAAGGGUUAUUCCGCAUUUUUUGCCGAUUCGCACACAUUGGAAUUUCGCUAACUCCUCCGAAGGCUUUCGUUCCACCGGCACCACAUUUGCUCAGGCCAAUCUACACCCCAUGGCCAUUAAAAGUUAUUCAAAUCAUGACGCUGCACCCCACGGUUUAGGUUCUAGGGGGCGCCAAAGAUAACCCAAAAAUCCACAGUCUUAAAAGUCUUAUAACUUUUUAUUUUUGUCCUCACUGGCCUCCAAGUUUUCUAGGAUGAUGCAAUGUCCAGCCAUCAACACAUUUGUGAAGGAAUUUUUACUCCCUAAAAGAGCGCCCCCCAUGGCAGGAGAAAAAAGUCCAUUUUUUCUUGUCCCCUAAGAUGAAAAUACACAUUGUUGACUGUCACGCCUGUACGCUUUGGCAAAAUGACACAAAAAUUGACAAUCAUGUGUAUCUCAAUUAGAUCUACGAAAAAGUCAAAGAGCGCGUAUCUGUAUAAUGUACGGUAAAAGGGCUAUUUUGCAUUUUUUGCCGAUUCGCACACAUUGGAAUUUCGCUAACUCCUCCUAAGGCUUUCGUCCCACUGACACCAAAUUUGCUCAGGCCAAUCUACACUCCAUGGCCAUUCAAAGUUGUAAAAAUCAUGACGCUGCACCCCACGGUUUACGUUUUAGGGGGCGCCAAAGAUGACCCAAAUAUACAUUACAGUAGACAAAGUAGUUUUGCCCACUGAGUGGCGCCAAAGGGACUUGUCUGUGGAGUCUGUGAGUCACUAUUGGCCGUUUUUGACUACUUUAGAUUUUACCUUUAUAUUUCCUCUUACAAAAUUUUUACCUUGCCUUGCCUGGUAUCAUUUUUUUCAGCACAACCUCACCUGUGUCAAUUUACAGUUAUUUUAUCAUUUUGACAUACUAUAUUUACACAUUGGACCCAAAUUCACACACAAAACAUAAAAUCCGAGUGGAAAAAAGUAACGUUUUUACUGUGAAAACCACAAAUAUGUGUGAUGAACUGUUUUUAAAACUUAAACUUCAAAUUAAAAUUGUAAACUUCAAAACAUAUGCAAAUUUUUAACAAAGAACAUAGUAAUUUACCUCUAUUUACAUCAAAAUGCAGGCAAUGGCCCAGGUGUUCUUUGUAAAAUUAUUUACAAAACACUGUAUAGUCUCACAAAUGUCACUUUUUAUUUAUGCCACUACAAAAAAACAUGAUGUAAAUGAUGCAUGAUGUAAAACAUGAUGUAAAAAACUUGUGUAGAUCCUCCUCUAUGUCAGUCCAUGUGUAAUUUUUCCAUAAUUCAUUGUUUUUUGCAGCAUUUUUGUUAGUGUAACUGCAGAUUGUGCUGACAGUGUCUAUGGCAAAAAAAAAAAAAAAACUGAAAAUGCCUCAACAUGAACCCCUGGUGGUCUCUGAGGGUGAAACCUGCUAACUGCUGCAGCUCUGUCAGCUUCAGUCUCCCAUGCAGAGCUCGGAGCGCAUGUGUGGCUCUGCACCCUUAGCAGCGUUGCUAACUCCUCAGUAAGGAAAGCCUGCUUCAUGUCAGAGUCUCUAAACUCCAGAAGAAGUCGAUAAAAGUCACUUUCUUUCUAAAAAAAAAGUCGUUAGGGGGUCUGAAAAGUCAUUGAAUCUAACAACAAAGUCGCUAGGUUUGCAACUACGUGUCCCAGACUGCAUCCCUGCUGAGAGUCCCUCCCUCCCUUCUCAUAUUGCAGGAAGAACGUAAGCGCCCGACCCUUGUCAAUCAGUCACCAUAUAAUUUUGGAUUGGUUGUUGUGGUGAAGUUUUCCACCAAUAGGAGAGAUGUUGUGGUGUGUUUUUUUUUUCCUUUGGCAAGCCUUUUCCGCCUGUAAGACCUGUCGCUAAUGUCUGCAUGCUAUGUUUUCCUGUCUCAUACAGCGCGAUCGAGCGCCGAACGUGAUCAAAAUAAGCAGAAAACACGUAUCGCGGACAUAAUUUAUCAUAACUCUGGUUUUAUUUGGCCUAUCAACACAAUUUAAAAACUGGUAUAUAGGUUGAGGUCCUCACUUUUGAGAUAAGUUGAAACGGAGUCAACAAGGCUCCGUCUUGCAGCUACAUCCGGUUAAAUAUGUCAUGUGACUUGAACGCACACAGACACACACACACACGCACACACACACUCAGAGUCUGGUUUUUAGCACCUGCAAAAACAUGCUAUUUACAUAUUUGACAAGAAUGCAGAGGCUCCUUUUGCCCCUGAAAAAAAUCAAAUUUCAAACACAACUUGACUGGUCAUUUCUCCAAAAGACAACCAUGAAGCUCCAUCCAAACCUGAAGCAGGCAGUUGGUGCAUGUGUACAGUAACCUGAGGGGAGUGAGGUGAGUGCUUCUGAGGAGAACAUGAGCAGUGAAGAUUCACCUUGGAGCUAGAACAGAGACAUGCACAUGAUUAUACAGGGGCAGGGGCUCAAGUUUUUUCCAGUCGUUUAUACAAUAUGGAAAUUAAUGUGAAAUUAAAACACAAAGUAUUAAUAGAAAGGUAAUGACUGUCCUGUGUAGGUGACAGUGAUAUCCAAUAGGCUAGGCACUCACGAGGCUGGCUGUGGUUAGUGUAAGUGAAAGCAACACGCACUGGCAGGAAGAACAGCAAACGCCGAUGAAGGAAAAGGGUCUUUGCAGUGAUGGGCGUUACCAGAGAGGGCGAUGGCCAGAGGACACAAAUGGGACGGGGAGGCAGCACGUUGGGGGGGGGGGGGGGACACGGCUCGGGCCCGCCAGUGCCCCAACGGGGUCCUAGUUUGUUAUUAUUAGGGCCCGAGCGUAGCUGCUAAGCAGCUGCGAGAGCCCUCUUGUUCCUGAUGGAUUCUUCUUUUGUUAUUAUUAUUAUUUUUCCUCCGCUUUAAACUGGAAAAUGGCCCACUUCCCACUGGCGAAAACUCAUGAAAUUUGGCAGGACGACCGGGCCUGGUGAAAAAUUCGAUAUUCUGAAGUCGCCCAAACAAUAAAAUGCAAAAUGGCUCCAUAGCGCCCCCUAAGGUGAAAAUUCACACUAUUGACUGUCACGCCUGUACGCUUUGUCAUAUUGACACAAAAAUUGACACACACAUGUAUCUCAAUAAGAUCUACAAAAAAGUCAGUGUGGGCGUAUCUGUCAAAUGUACGGUUAAAGGGUUAUUUCGCAUUUUUUGCAGAUCCGCACACAUUGGAAUUUCGCUAACUCCUCCUAAGGCUUUCGUUCCACCGGCACCACAUUUGCUCAGGCCAAUCUACACCCCGUGGCCAUUCAAAGUUGUACAAAUCAUGAUGCUGCACCCCAUGGUUUAGGUUCUAGGGGGCGCCAAAGAUAACCCAAAAAUCCACAUUCUUAAAAGUUUUAUAACUUUUUAUUUUUGUCCUCACUGGCCUCCAAGUUUUCUAGGAUGAUGCAAUGUCCAGCCAUCAACACAUUUGUGAAGGAAUUUUUACUCCCCAAAAGAGCGCCCCCCAAUGGCAGGAGAAAAAAGUCAAUUUUUUCUUGUCCCCUAAGGUGAAAAUACACAUUGUUGAGAUUCACGCCUGUACGCUUUGUCAUAUUGACAAAAAAUUUGACGCACACGUGUAUCUCAAUAAGAUCUACGAAAAAGUCAAUGCGCGCGUAUCUGUAAAAUGUACGGCUAAAGGGCUAUUUUGCAUUUUUUGCCGAUUCGCACACAUUGGAAUGUGGCUAACUCCUCCUAAGGCUUUCGUCCCACUGACACCAAAUUUGCUCAGGCCAAUCUACACCCCAUGGCCAUUGAGAGUUGUAAAAAUCAUGCCGCUGCACCCCAUGGUUUACGUUCUAGGGGGCGCCAAAGAUGACCCAAAUAUCCACAUUCUUAAAAGUCGUUUUGGCCACUGCAGGAGUACAGAGUACUGCAGGAUACACACACACAGACACACACACACACACAGACACACACACACACACACACACACACACACACACACACACACACACACACACACUCAGAGUCUGUUUUUUAGCACCUGCAAAAACAUGCUAUUUACAUAUUUGACAAGAAUGCAGAGGCUUCCUUUUGCCCCUGAAAAAAAUCACAUUUCAAACACAACUUGACUGCUCAUUUCUCCAAAAGACAACCAUGAAGCUCCAUCCAAACCUGAAGCAGGCAGUUGGUGCAUGUGUACAGUAACCUGAGGGGAGUGAGGUGAGUGCUUCUGAGGAGAACAUGAGCAGUGAAGAUUCACCUUGGAGCGAGAACAGGGACGUGCACAUGAUUAUACAGGGGCAGGGGCUCAAGUUAUUUCCAGUUGUUUUUACAAUAUGGAAAUUAAUGUGAAAUUAAAAAACAAAGUAUUAAUAGAAAGGUAAUGACUGUCCUGUGUAGGUGACAGUGAUAUCGAAUAGGCUAGGCACUCACGAGGCUGGCUGUGGCAAGUGUAAGUGAAAGCAACACGCACUGGCAGGAAGAACAGCAAACGCCGAUGAAGGAAAAGGGUCUUUGCAUUGAUGGGCGUUACCAGAGAGGGCGAUGGCCAGAGGACACAAAUGGGACGGGAAGGCAGCGCGUUGGGGGGGGGGGGGCACACGGCUCGGGCCCGCCAGUGCCCCAACGGGGUCCUAGUUAGGGCCCGAGCGUAGCUGCUAAGCUGCGAGAGCCGUCUUGUUCCUGUAGUUUCCUUCUUUAGGGCCCGAGCGUAGCUGCUAAGCAGCUGCGAGAGCCCUAUUAUUCCUGAUGGAUUCUUCUUUCUUCUUCUUCUUCUUCUUAUUAUUUUUCUGCCCCUUUGAACUGGAAAAUGGCCCACUUCCCACUGGUGAAAAGUCAUGAAAUUUGGCAGGACGACCGGGCCUGGUGAAAAAUUCGAUAUUCUGAAGUCGCCCAAAAAAUCAAAUGCAAAAUGGCUCCAUAGCGCCCCCUAAGGUGAAAAAUUCACAUGAUUGAGUGUCACGCCUGUACGCUUUGUCAAAAUGACACAAAAUUUGACACACACGUGUAUCUCAAUAAGAUCUACAAAAAAGUCAGUGCGGGCGUAUCUGUCAAAUGUACGGUUAAAGGGCUAUUUCGCAUUUUUUGCCGAUCCGCACACAUUGGAAUUUCGCUAACUCCUCCGAAGGCUUUCGUUCCACCGGCACCAAAUUUGCUCAGGCCAAUCUACACCCCAUGGCCAUUAAAAGUUGUACAAAUCAUGAUGCUGCAUCCCACGGUUUACGUUCUAGGGGGCGCCAAAGAUAACCCAGAAAUCCACAUUCUUAAAAGUCGUAUAACUUUUUAUUUUUGUCCUCACUGGCCUCCAAGUUUUCUAGGAUGAUGCAAUGUCCAGCCAUCAACACAUUUGUGAAGGAAUUUUUACUCCCCAAAAGAGCGCCCCCCCAUGGCAGGAGAAAAAAGUCCAUUUUUUCUUGUCCUAUAAGGUGAAAAUACACAUUGUUGAGUGUCACGCCUGUACGCUUUGUCAUAUUGAAACAAAAUUUGAUAAUCACGUGUAUCUCAAUAAGAUCUACGAAAAAGUCAAUGCGCUCGUGUCUGCAAAAUGUACGGUUAAAGGGCUAUUUCGCAUUUUUGGUUGAUUCGCACACAUUGGAAUUUCGCUAACUCCUCCUAAAGCUUUCGUUCCACCGGCACCAAAUUUGCUCAGGCCAAUCUACACCCCAUGGCCAUUAAAAGUUGUACAAAUCAUGAUGCUGCACCCCACGGUUUACGUUCUAGGGGUCGCCAAAGAUAACCCAAAAAUCCACAUUCUUAAAAGUCUUAUAACUUUUCAUUUUUGUCCUCACUGGCUUCAAAGUUUUCUAGGAUGAUGCAAUGUCUAGCCAUCAACACAUUUGUGAAGGAAUUUUUUCUCCCUAAAAGAGUGCCCCCCCAUGGCAGGAGAAAAAGUCAAGUUUUUCCUGCCCAUCGCUCAAUGGCUCAAACACAUCGCUCUCUCGGAAAAAAACGAAAGGAGGAGCAACUUGCCGUUUGGAUAUAUCCUAGCUGUGUUUGUGCCCUCACUCAUGGUCCAGACUUUUUUCAAAUAGGACAUGUAGUUUGUCUGCAGCAAGCGUUUUGGUAGAAACUGCGCCUCCCAUUCAUUAUAAUGGUAAAUGACCACAGACAAGUGCGCACACCAUCGUUGAACCUUGAGUGUGACGCGAUCGGGAGGGAGAGGCGGUCGUGUUGGGGGCGGCGUGACACAGCUCGGGCCCGCCAGUGCCCCAACGGGGCCCUAGUUAUUAUUUUUCCUCCGCUUUAAACUGGAAAAUGGCCCACUUCCCACUGGCGAAAACUCAGGAAAUUUGGCAGGACGACCGGGCCUGGUGAAAAAUUCGAUGUUCUGAAGUCGCCCAAACAAUAAAAUGCAAAAUGGCUCCAUAGCGCCCCCUAAGGUGAAAAUUCACAUGACGGCUGUACGCUUUGUCAUAUUGACACAAAAAUUGACACACACAUGUAUCUCAAUAAGUUCUACAAAAAAGUCAGUGCGGGCUUAUCUGUCAAAUGUACGGUUAAUGGGUUAUUUUGCAUUUUUUGCAGAUCUGCACACAUUGGAAUUUCGCUAACUCCUCCGAAGGCUUUCGUUCGACCGGCACCACAUUUGCGCAGGCCAAUCAACCCCCCAUGGCCAUUAAAAGUUGUACAAAUCAUGACGCUGCACCCCACGGUUUACGUUCUAGGGGGCGCCAAAGAUAACCCAAAAUCCACAUUCUUAAAAGUCUUAUAACUUUUUAUUUUUGUCCUCACUGCCCUCCAAGUUUUCUAGGAUGAUGCAAUGUCCAGCCAUCAACACAUUUGUGAAGGAAUUUUUACUCCCCAAAAGAGCGCCCCCCCAUGGCAGGAGAAAAAAGUCAGUUUUUUCUUGUCCCCUUACAUGAAAAUACACAUUGUUGAGUGUCACGCCUGAACGCUUUGUCAUAUUGACACAAAAAUUGACAAUCAUGUGUAUCUCAAUUAGAUCUACGAAAAAGUCAAAAAGCGCGUAUCUGUAUAAUGUACGGUUAAAGGGCUAUUUCGCAUUUUUUGCCGAUUCGCACACAUUGGAAUGUGGCUAUCUCCUCCUAAGGCUUUCGUCCCACCGAUACCAAAUUUGCUCAGGGCAAUCUACACCCCAUGCCCAUUCAAAGUUGUAAAAAUCAUGACGCUGCACCCCACGGUUUACGUUCUAGGGGGCGCCAAAGAUGACCCAAAAAUCCACAUUCUUAAAAGUCAUUUUGGCCACUGCAGGAGUACAGAGUACUGCAGGAUACACACACAUAUACACACACACACACACACACACACACACUCAGAGUCUGUUUUUUUGCACCUGCAAAAACAUGCUGUUUACAUAUUUGACAAGAAUGCAGAGGCUUCCUUUUGCCUCUGAAAAAAAUCAGAUUUCAAACACAACUUGACUGUUCAUUUCUCCAAAAGACAACCAUGAAGCUCCAUCCAAACCUGAAGCAGAUAGUUGGUGCAUGUGUACAGUAACCUGAGGGGAGUGAGGUGACUAUUUCUGAGGAGAACAUGAGCAGUGAAGAUUCACCUUGGAGCUAGAACAGGGACGUGCACAUGAUUAUACAGGGGUAGGGGCUCAAGUUUUUUCCAGUCAUUUAUACAAUAUGGAAAUUAAUGUGAAAUUAAACCACAAAUAUGUGUGAUGAACUGUUUUUAAAACUUAAACUUCAAAUAAAAAUUGUAAACUUCAAAACAUAUGCAAAUUUUUAACAAAGAACAUAGUAAUUUACCUCUAUUUACAUCAAAAUGCAGGCAAUGGCCCAGGCGUUCUUUGUAAAAUUAUUUACAAAACACUGUAUAGUCUCACAAAUGUCACUUUUUAUUUAUGCCACUACAAAAAAACAUGAUGUAAAUGAUGCAUGAUGUAAAACAUGAUGUAAAAAACUUGUGUAGAUCCUCCUCUAUGUCAGUCCAUGUGUAAUUUUUCCAUAAUUCUUUGUUUUUUGCAGCAUUUUUGUUAGUGUAACUGCAGAUUGUGCUGACAGUCUAUGGCAAAAAAAACAAAAACUGAAAAUGCCUCAACAUGAACCCCUGGUGGUCUCUGAGGGUGAAACCUGCUAACUGCUGCAGCUCUGUCAGCUUCAGUCUCCCAUGCAGAGCUCGGAGCGCAUGUGUGGCUCUGCACCCUUAGCAGCGUUGCUAACUCCUCAGUAAGGAAAGCCUGCUUCAUGUCAGAGUCUCUAAACUCCAGAAGAAGUCGAUAAAAGUCCCUUUCUUUCUAAAAAAAAGUCGUUAGGGGGUCUGAAAAGUAAUUGAAUCUAACAACAAAGUCGCUAGGUUUGCAACUACGUGUCCCAGACUGCAUCCCUGCUGAGAGUCCCUCCCUCCCUUCUCAUGUUGCAGGAAGAACGUAAGCGCCCGCCCCUUGUCAUUCAGUCACCAUAUAAUUUUGGAUUGGUUGUUGUGGUGAAGUUUUCCACCAAUAGGAGAGAUGUUGUGGUGUGUUUUUUUUUUCUUUUGGCAAGCCUUUUCCGCCUGUAAGACCUGUCGCUAAUGUGUGCAUGCUAUGUUUUCCUGUCUCAUACAGCGCGAUCGAGCGCCGAACGUGAUCAAAAUAAGCAGAAAAAAAGUAUCGCGGACAUAAUUUAUCAUAACUCUGGUUUUAUUUGGCCUAUCAACACAAUUUAAAAACUGGUAUAUAGGUUGAGGUCCUCACUUUUGAGAUAAGUUGAAACGGAGAGUUAACGAGGCUCCGUCUUGCAGCUACAUCCGGUUAAAUAUGUCAUGUGACUUGAACGCUGGGGAGCGUCAAUCGAAUCGAAUCAAACCUAACUCUCAGAUGAAUCUUCAAAAUUCACCUCAGAAAUAUGCUUAUUAUUCUUCUCAGAGUACUGCAGGAUACACACACAGACACACACACACACACGCACACACACACACACACACACACACACACACACACACACACUCGGAGUCUGUUUUUUAGCACCUGCAAAAACAUGCUAUUUACAUAUUUGACAAGAAUGCAGAGGCUUCCUUUUGCCCCUGAAAAAAAUCAAAUUUCAAACACAACUUGACUGCUCAUUUCUCCAAAAGACAACCAUGAAGCUCCAUCCAAACCUGAAGCAGGCAGUUGGUGCAUGUGUACAGUAACCUGAGGGGAGUGAGGUGACUGCUUCUGAGGAGAACAUGAGCAGUGAAGAUUCACCUUGGAGCUAGAACAGGGACGUGCACAUGAUAAUACAGGGGCAGGGGCUCAAGUUUUUUCCAGUCGUUUAUACAAUAUGGAAAUUAAUGUGAAAUUAAAAAACAAAGUAUGACUGUCCUGUGUAGGUGACAGUGAUAUCCAAUAGGCUAGGCACUCACGAGGCUGGCUGUGGCAAGUGUAAGUGAAAGCAACACGCACUGGCAGGAAGAACAGCAAACGCAGAUGAAGGAAAAGGGUCUUUGCUGUGAUGGGCGUUACCAGAGAGGGCGAUGGCCAGAGGACACGAAUGGGACGGGGAGGCAGCGCGUUGGGGGGGGGGGGGGGGGGGUGCGACACGGCUCGGGCCCCCCAGUGCCCCAACGGGGCCCUAGUUUGUUAUUAUUAUUUUUCCUCCCCUUUGAACUGGAAAAUGGCCCACUUCCCACUGGCGAAAACUCAUGAAAUUUGGCAGGACGACCGGGCCUGGUGAAAAAUUUGAUAUUCCGAAGUCGCCCAAACAAGAAAAUGCAAAAUGGCUCCAUAGCGCCCCCUAAGGUGAAAAUUCACACUAUUGACUGUCACGCCUGUACGCUUUGUCAAAAUGACACAAAAAUUGACACACACAUGUAUCUCAAUAAGAUCUACAAAAAAGUCAGUGCGGGCGUAUCUGUCAAAUGUACGGUUAAAGGGUUAUUUCGCAUUUUUUGCCGAUCCGCACACAUUGGAAUUUCGCUAACUCCUCCGAAGGCUUUCGUUCCACCGGCACCACAUUUGCUCAGGCCAAUCUACACCCCAUGGCCAUUAAAAGUUAUUCAAAUCAUGACGCUGCACCCCACGGUUUAGGUUCUAGGGGGCGCCAAAGAUAACCCUAAGAACCACAUAUUUAAAAGUCUUAUAACUUUUUAUUUUUGCCCUCACUGGCCUCCAAGUUUUCUAGGAUGAUGCAAUGUCCAGCCAUCAACACAUUUGUGAAGGAAUUUUUACUCCCCAAAAGAGCGCCCCCCCAUGGCAGGAGAAAAAAGUCCAUUUUUUCUUGUCCCCUAAGGUGAAAAUACACAUUGUUGAGUGUAACACCUGUACGCUUUGGCAAAAUGACACAAAAAUUGACACACACAUGUAUCUCAAUAAGAUCUACGAAAAAGUCAAUGCGCGCGUAUCUGUCAAAUGUACGGUUAAAGGGUUAUUCCGCAUUUUUUGCCGAUCCGCACACAUUGGAAUUUCGCUAACUCCUCCGAAGGCUUUCGUUCCACCGGCACCACAUUUGCUCAGGCCAAUCUACACCCCAUGGCCAUUAAAAGUUAUUCAAAUCAUGACGCUGCACCCCACGGUUUAGGUUCUAGGGGGCGCCAAAGAUAACCCUAAGAUCCACAUAUUUAAAAGUCUUAUAACUUUUUAUUUUUGCCCUCACUGGCCUCCAAGUUUUCUAGGAUGAUGCAAUGUCCAGCCAUCAACACAUUUGUGAAGGAAUUUUUACUCCCCAAAAGAGCGCCCCCCCAUGGCAGGAGAAAAAAGUCCAUUUUUUCUUGUCCCCUAAGGUGAAAAUACACAUUGUUGAGUGUAACACCUGUACGCUUUGGCAAAAUGACACAAAAAUUGACACACACAUGUAUCUCAAUAAGAUCUACGAAAAAGUCAAUGCGCGCGUAUCUGUCAAAUGUACGGUUAAAGGGUUAUUCCGCAUUUUUUGCCGAUCCGCACACAUUGGAAUUUCGCUAACUCCUCCGAAGGCUUUCGUUCCACCGGCACCACAUUUGCUCAGGCCAAUCUACACCCCAUGGCCAUUAAAAGUUAUUCAAAUCAUGACGCUGCACCCCACGGUUUAGGUUCUAGGGGGCGCCAAAGAUAACCCUAAAAUCCACAUAUUUAAAAGUCUUAUAACUUUUUAUUUUUGUCCUCACUGGCCUCCAAGUUUUCUAGGAUGAUGCAAUGUCCAGCCAUCAACACAUUUGUGAAGGAAUUUUUACUCCCCAAAAGAGCGCCCCCCCCAUGGCAGGAGAAAAAAGUCAAUUUUUUCUUGUCCCCUAAGGUGGAAAUUCACACUAUUGACUGUCACGCCUGUACGCUUUAUCAUAUUGACACAAAAUUUGACAAUCACAUGUAUCUCAAUAAGAUCUACAAAAAAGUCAAUGCGCGCGUAUCUGUCAAAUGUACGGUUAAAGGGUUAUUCCGCAUUUUUUGCCGAUCCGCACACAUUGGAAUUUCGCUAACUCCUCCGAAGGCUUUCGUUCCACCGGCACCACAUUUGCUCAGGCCAAUCUACACCCCAUGGCCAUUAAAAGUUAUUCAAAUCAUGACGCUGCACCCCACGGUUUAGGUUCUAGGGGGCGCCAAAGAUAACCGUAAAAUCCACAUAUUUAAAAGUCUUAUAACUUUUUAUUUUUGUCCCCACUGGCCUCCAAGUUUUCUAGGAUGAUGCAAUGUCCAGCCAUCAACACAUUUGUGAAGGAAUUUUUACUCGCCAAAAGAGCGCCCCCCCAUGGCAGGAGAAAAAAGUCCAUUUUUUCUUGUCCACUAAGGUGAAAAUACACAUUGUUGAGUGUUACGACUGUAUGUUUUGUCGUUUUGACACAAAAUUUUACAUACACGUGUCUUUCAAUAAGAUCUUCGAAAAAGUCAAUGGCCACGUAUCUGUAAAAUGUACGGUUAAAGGGUUAUUUCGCAUUUUUUGCAGAUUCGCACACAUUGGAAUUUCGCUAACUCCUCCGAAGGCUUUCGUUCCACUGGCACCACAUUUGCUCAGGCCAAUCUACACCCCAUGGCCAUUAAAAGUUAUUCAAAUCAUGACGCUGCACCCCACGGUUUAGGUUCUAGGGGGCGCCAAAGAUAACCCUAAAAUCCACAUAUUUAAAAGUCUUAUAACUUUUUAUUUUUGUCCUCACUGGCCUCCAUGUUUUAUAGGAUGAUGCAAUGUCCAGCCAUCAACACAUUUGUGAAGGAGUUUUUUCUCGUUAAAUGAGCGCCCCCCCAUGGCAGGAGAAUAAAGUCAAGUUUUUCCUGUUCAUCAUUCAAUGGCUCAAACGCACUGCUCUCUCGGCAAAAGCGAAAGGAGGAGCAACUUGCCAUUUGGAUAUAUCUUAGCUGUGUUUGUGCCCUCACUCAUGGUCCAGACUUUUUUCAAAUAGGACAUGGAGUUUUUCUGCAGCGAGCGUUUUGGUAGAAACUGCGCCUCCCGUUCAUUAUAAUGGUAAAUGACCACAAACAAGUGCGCACACCAUCUUUGGACCUUGAGUGUGACGCGAUCGGGUGGGGGAGGCGGUCGUGCUGGGGGCAGCGUGACACGGCUCGGGCCCGCCAGUGCCCCAACGGGGCCCUAGUUGUUUCUUUUUAGGGCCCGAGCGUAGCUGCUAAGCAGCUGCGAGAGCCCUCUUGUUCCUGCAUGUUUCCUUCUUUUGUUAUUAGGGCCCGAGCCAGCUGCAGAGCAGCCGGGCGUAGAGCCCUAUUAUUCCUGUAUAGGUUUUUCUUUCUUCUUUCUUUCUUUCUUUCUUCUUAUUUUUCCUCCCCUUUGAAGGGGAAAAUGGCCCACUUUCCACUGGCGAAAACUCAUGAAAUUUGGCAGGACGACCGGGCCUGGUGAAAAAUUCGAUAUUCUGAAGUCGCCCAAACAAUAAAAUGCAAAAUGGCUCCAUAGCGCCCCCUAAGGUGAAAAUUUACACUAUUGACUGUCACGCCUGUACGCUUUGUCAUAUUGACACAAAAUUUGACAAUCACGUGUAUCUCAAUAAGAUCUACGAAAAAGUCAAUAGGCACGUAUCUGUAAAAUGUACGGUUAAAGGGCUAUUACGCAUUUUUGAUCGAUUCGCACACAUUGGAAUGUGGCUAUCUCCUCCGAAGGCUUUCGUUCCACUGGCACCACAUUUGCUCAGGCCAAUCUACACCCCAUGGCCAUUAAAAGUUAUUCAAAUCAUGACGCUGCACCCCACGGUUUAGGUUCUAGGGGGCGCCAAAGAUAACCCUAAAAUCCACAUAUUUAAAAGUCUUAUAACUUUUUAUUUUUGUCCUCACUGGCCUCCAUGUUUUAUAGGAUGAUGCAAUGUCCAGCCAUCAACACAUUUGUGAAGGAGUUUUUUCUCGUUAAAUGAGCGCCCCCCCAUGGCAGGAGAAUAAAGUCAAGUUUUUCCUGUUCAUCAUUCAAUGGCUCAAACGCACUGCUCUCUCGGCAAAAGCGAAAGGAGGAGCAACUUGCCAUUUGGAUAUAUCUUAGCUGUGUUUGUGCCCUCACUCAUGGUCCAGACUUUUUUCAAAUAGGACAUGGAGUUUUUCUGCAGCGAGCGUUUUGGUAGAAACUGCGCCUCCCGUUCAUUAUAAUGGUAAAUGACCACAAACAAGUGCGCACACCAUCUUUGGACCUUGAGUGUGACGCGAUCGGGUGGGGGAGGCGGUCGUGCUGGGGGCAGCGUGACACGGCUCGGGCCCGCCAGUGCCCCAACGGGGCCCUAGUUGUUUCUUUUUAGGGCCCGAGCGUAGCUGCUAAGCAGCUGCGAGAGCCCUCUUGUUCCUGCAUGUUUCCUUCUUUUGUUAUUAGGGCCCGAGCCAGCUGCAGAGCAGCCGGGCGUAGAGCCCUAUUAUUCCUGUAUAGGUUUUUCUUUCUUCUUUCUUUCUUUCUUUCUUCUUAUUUUUCCUCCCCUUUGAAGGGGAAAAUGGCCCACUUUCCACUGGCGAAAACUCAUGAAAUUUGGCAGGACGACCGGGCCUGGUGAAAAAUUCGAUAUUCUGAAGUCGCCCAAACAAUAAAAUGCAAAAUGGCUCCAUAGCGCCCCCUAAGGUGAAAAUUUACACUAUUGACUGUCACGCCUGUACGCUUUGUCAUAUUGACACAAAAUUUGACACACACAUGUAUCUCAAUAAGAUCUACAAAAAAGUCAGUGCGGGCGUAUCUGUCAAAUGUACGGUUAAAGGGUUAUUUCGCAUUUUUUGCUGAUCCGCACACAUUGGAAUUUCGCUAACUCCUCCGAAGGCUUUCGUUCCACCGGCACCACAUUUGCUCAGGCCAAUCUACACCCCAUGGCCAUUAAAAGUUGUACAAAUCAUGACGCUGCACCCCACAGUUUAGGUUCUAGGGGGCGCCAAAGAUAACCCAAAAAUCCACAUUUUUAAAAGUCUUAUAACUUUUUAUUUUUGUCCUCACUGGCCUCCAAGUUUUCUAGGAUGAUGCAAUGUCCAGCCAUCAACACAUUUGUGAAGGAAUUUUUACUCCCCAAAAGAGCGCCCCCCCAUGGCAAGAGAAAAAAGUCCAUUUUUCUUGUCCCACAAGGUGAAAAUACACAUUGUUGAGUGUCACGCCUGUACGCUUUGUCAUAUUGAAACAAAAUUUGACAAUCACGUGUAUCUCAAUAAGAUCUACGAAAAAGUCAAUAGGCACGUAUCUGUAAAAUGUACGGUUAAAGGGCUAUUACGCAUUUUUGAUCGAUUCGCACACAUUGGAAUGUGGCUAUCUCCUCCUAAAGCUUUCGUUCCACCGGCACCAAAUUUGCUCAGGCCAAUCUACACCCCAUGGCCAUUCAAAGUUGUACAAAUCAUGACGCUGCACCCCACGGUUUACGUUCUAGGGGGCGCCAAAGAUAACCCAAAAAUCCACAUUCUUAAAAGUCCUAUAACUUUUCAUUUUUGUCCUCACUGGCUUCCAGGUUUCCUAGGAUGAUGCAAUGUCUAGCCAUCAACACAUUUGUGAAGGAAUUUUUACUCCUCAAAAGAGCGCCCCCCCAUGGCAGGAGAAAAAGUCAAGUUUUUCCUGCCCAUCGCUCAAUGGCUCAAACACAUGUCAUGUGUUCAAACUCCUCCGAAAGGAGGAGCAACUUGCCAUUUGGAUAUAUCCUAGCUGUGUUUGUGCCCUCACUCAUGGUCCAGACUUUUUUCAAAUAGGACAUGUAGUUUGUCUGCAGCAAGCGUUUUGGUAGAAACUGCGCCUCCCAUUCAUUAUAAUGGUAAAUGACCAGAGACAAGUGCACACACCAUCUUUGGACCUUGAGUGUGACGCUAUCGGGAGGGGUAGGUGGUCGCGCUGGGAGCGGCGCGACACGGCUCGGGCCCGCCAGUGCCCCAACGGGGCCCUAGUUAUUAUUUUUCCUCCCCUUUGAACUGGAAAAUGGCCCACUUCCCACUGGCGAAAACUCAUGAAAUUUGGCAGGACGACCGGGCCUGGUGAAAAAUUUGAUAUUCCGAAGUCGCCCAAACAAGAAAAUGCAAAAUGGCUCCAUAGCGCCCCCUAAGGUGAAAAAUUCACCUGACGCCUGUACGCUUUGUCAAAAUGACACAAAAAUUGACACACACAUGUAUCUCAAUAAGAUCUACAAAAAAGUCAAUGCGCACGUAUCUGUCAAAUGUACGGUUAAAGGGUUAUUGCGCAUUUUUUGCCGAACCGCACACAUUGGAAUUUCGCUAACUCCUCCGAAGGCUUUCGUUCCACCGGCACCACAUUUGCUCAGGCCAAUCUACACCCCAUGGCCAUUAAAAGUUAUUCAAAUCAUGACGCUGCACCCCACGGUUUAGGUUCUAGGGGGCGCCAAAGAUAACACUAAAAUCCACAUAUUUCAAAGUCUUAUAACUUUUUAUUUUUUUCCUCACUGGCCUCCAAGUUUUCUAGGAUGAUGCAAUGUCCAGCCAUCAACACAUUUGUGAAGGAAUUUUUACUCCCCAAAAGAGCGCCCCCCCAUGGCAGGAGAAAAAAGUCCAUUUUUUCUUGUCCCCUAAGGUGAAAAUACACAUUGUUGAGUGUCACGCCUGUACGCUUUGUCAAAAUGACACAAAAAUUGACACACACAUGUAUCUCAAUAAGAUCUACAAAAAAGUCAAUGGGCGCGUAUCUGUCAAAUGUACGGUUAAAGGGUUAUUCCGCAUUUUUUGCCGAUUCGCACACAUUGGAAUUUCGCUAACUCCUCCGAAGGCUUUCGUUCCACCGGCACCACAUUUGCUCAGGCCAAUCUACACCCCAUGGCCAUUAAAAGUUAUUCAAAUCAUGACGCUGCACCCCACGGUUUAGGUUCUAGGGGGCGCCAAAGAUAACACUAAAAUCCACAUAUUUCAAAGUCUUAUAACUUUUUAUUUUUGUCCUCACUGGCCUCCAAGUUUUCUAGGAUGAUGCAAUGUCCAGCCAUCAACACAUUUGUGAAGGAAUUUUUACUCCCCAAAAGAGCGCCCCCCCAUGGCAGGAGAAAAAAGUCCAUUUUUUCUUGUCCCCUAAGGUGAAAAUACACAUUGUUGAGUGUCACGCCUGUACGCUUUGUCAAAAUGACACAAAAAUUGACACACACAUGUAUCUCAAUAAGAUCUACAAAAAAGUCAAUGGGCGCGUAUCUGUCAAAUGUACGGUUAAAGGGUUAUUCCGCAUUUUUUGCCGAUUCGCACACAUUGGAAUUUCGCUAACUCCUCCAAAGGCUUUCGUUCCACCGGCACCACAUUUGCUCAGGCCAAAUUACACCCCAUGGCCAUUAAAAGUUAUUCAAAUCAUGACGCUGCACCCCACGGUUUACGUUCUAGGGGGCGCCAAAGAUAACCCAAAAAUCCAAAUUUUUAAAAGUCUUAUAACUUUUUAUUUUUGUCCUCACUGGCCUCCAAGUUUUCUAGGAUGAUGCAAUGUCCAGCCAUCAACACAUUUGUGAAGGAAUUUUUACUCCCUAAAAGAGCGCCCCCCCAUGGCAGGAGAAAAAAGUCCAUUUUUUCUUGUCCCCUAAGGUGAAAAUACACAUUGUUGAGUGUAACACCUGUACGCUUUGGCAAAAUGACACAAAAAUUGACACACACAUGUAUCUCAAUAAGAUCUACAAAAAAGUCAAUGCGCGCGUAUCUGUCAAAUGUACGUUUAAAGGGCUAUUUUGCAUUUUUUGCCGAUUCGCACACAUUGGAAUGUGGCUAACUCCUCCUAAGGCUUUCGUCCCACUGACACCAAAUUUGCUCAGGCCAUUCUACACCCCAUGGCCAUUCAAAGUUGUAAAAAUCAUGACGCUGCACCCCACGGUUUACGUUCUAGGGGGCGCCAAAGAUGACCCAAAAAUCCACAUUCUUAAAGGAAUCCACAUCCCCCCCAAGGCAGGAGAAAAAGUCAAGUUAACCCUGCCCAUCGCUCAAUGGCUCAAUCGCAUCGCUCUCCAGGCAACACCGUAAGGAGGAGCAACCUGCCAUUUCGAUAUAUCAUAGCUGUGUUUGUGCCCUCACUCAUGGUCCAGACUUUUUUCAAAUAGGACAUGAAGUUUGUCUGCAGCGAGUGUUUUGGUAGAAACUGCGCCUCCCAUUCAUUAUAAUGGGAAAUGACCACAGACAAGUGCGCACACCAUCUUUGGACCUUGAGUGUGACGCGAUCGGGAGGGGGAGGCGGUCGCGCUAGGGGCGGCGCGACGCGGCUCGGGCCCGACAGUGCCCCACCGGGGCCCUAGUUAGGGCCCGAGCGUAGCUGCUAAGCAGCUGCGAGAGCCCUCUUGUUCCUGUAGUUUCCUUCUUUUGUUAUUAUUAUUAUUAUUUUUCCUCCCCUUUGAACUGGAAAAUGGCCCACUUCCCACUGGCGAAAACUCAUGAAAUUUGGCAGGACGACCGGGCCUGGUGAAAAAUUUGAUAUUCCGAAGUCGCCCAAACAAGAAAAUGCAAAAUGGCUCCAUAGCGCCCCCUAAGGUGAAAAUUCACACUAUUCACUGUCACGCCGGUACGCUUUGUCAAAAUGACACAAAAAUUGACACACACAUGUAUCUCAAUAAGAUCUACAAAAAAGUCAGUGCGGGCGUAUCUGUCAAAUGUACGGUUAAAGGGUUAUUUCGCAUUUUUUGCCGAUCCGCACACAUUGGAAUUUCGCUAACUCCUCCGAAGGCUUUCGUUCCACCGGCACCACAUUUGCUCAGGCCAAUCUACACCCCAUGGCCAUUAAAAGUUAUUCAAAUCAUGACGCUGCACCCCACGGUUUAGGUUCUAGGGGGCGCCAAAGAUAACCCUAAGAUCCACAUAUUUAAAAGUCUUAUAACUUUUUAUUUUUGCCCUCACUGGCCUCCAAGUUUUCUAGGAUGAUGCAAUGUCCAGCCAUCAACACAUUUGUGAAGGAAUUUUUACUCCCCAAAAGAGCGCCCCCCAUGGCAGGAGAAAAAAGUCCAUUUUUUCUUGUCCCCUAAGGUGAAAAUACACAUUGUUGAGUGUAACACCUGUACGCUUUGGCAAAAUGACACAAAAAUUGACACACACAUGUAUCUCAAUAAGAUCUACAAAAAAGUCAAUGCGCGCGUAUCUGUCAAAUGUACGUUUAAAGGGCUAUUUUGCAUUUUUUGCCGAUUCGCACACAUUGGAAUGUGGCUAACUCCUCCUAAGGCUUUCGUCCCACUGACACCAAAUUUGCUCAGGCCAAUCUACACCCCAUGGCCAUUCAAAGUUGUAAAAAUCAUGACGCUGCACCCCACGGUUUACGUUCUAGGGGGCGCCAAAGAUGACCCAAAAAUCCACAUUCUUAAAGGAAUCCACAUCCCCCCCAAGGCAGGAGAAAAAGUCAAGUUAACCCUGCCCAUCGCUCAAUGGCUCAAUCGCAUCGCUCUCCAGGCAACACCGUAAGGAGGAGCAACCUGCCAUUUCGAUAUAUCAUAGCUGUGUUUGUGCCCUCACUCAUGGUCCAGACUUUUUUCAAAUAGGACAUGAAGUUUGUCUGCAGCGAGUGUUUUGGUAGAAACUGCGCCUCCCAUUCAUUAUAAUGGGAAAUGACCACAGACAAGUGCGCACACCAUCUUUGGACCUUGAGUGUGACGCGAUCGGGAGGGGGAGGCGGUCGCGCUAGGGGCGGCGCGACGCGGCUCGGGCCCGACAGUGCCCCACCGGGGCCCUAGUUAGGGCCCGAGCGUAGCUGCUAAGCAGCUGCGAGAGCCCUCUUGUUCCUGUAGUUUCCUUCUUUUGUUAUUAUUAUUAUUAUUUUUCCUCCCCUUUGAACUGGAAAAUGGCCCACUUCCCACUGGCGAAAACUCAUGAAAUUUGGCAGGACGACCGGGCCUGGUGAAAAAUUUGAUAUUCCGAAGUCGCCCAAACAAGAAAAUGCAAAAUGGCUCCAUAGCGCCCCCUAAGGUGAAAAUUCACACUAUUCACUGUCACGCCGGUACGCUUUGUCAAAAUGACACAAAAAUUGACACACACAUGUAUCUCAAUAAGAUCUACAAAAAAGUCAGUGCGGGCGUAUCUGUCAAAUGUACGGUUAAAGGGUUAUUUCGCAUUUUUUGCCGAUCCGCACACAUUGGAAUUUCGCUAACUCCUCCGAAGGCUUUCGUUCCACCGGCACCACAUUUGCUCAGGCCAAUCUACACCCCAUGGCCAUUAAAAGUUAUUCAAAUCAUGACGCUGCACCCCACGGUUUAGGUUCUAGGGGGCGCCAAAGAUAACCCUAAGAUCCACAUAUUUAAAAGUCUUAUAACUUUUUAUUUUUGCCCUCACUGGCCUCCAAGUUUUCUAGGAUGAUGCAAUGUCCAGCCAUCAACACAUUUGUGAAGGAAUUUUUACUCCCCAAAAGAGCGCCCCCCCAUGGCAGGAGAAAAAAGUCCAUUUUUUCUUGUCCCCUAAGGUGAAAAUACACAUUGUUGAGUGUAACACCUGUACGCUUUGGCAAAAUGACACAAAAAUUGACACACACAUGUAUCUCAAUAAGAUCUACGAAAAAGUCAAUGCGCGCGUAUCUGUCAAAUGUACGGUUAAAGGGUUAUUCCGCAUUUUUUGCCGAUCCGCACACAUUGGAAUUUCGCUAACUCCUCCGAAGGCUUUCGUUCCACCGGCACCACAUUUGCUCAGGCUAAUCUACACCCCAUGGCCAUUAAAAGUUAUUCAAAUCAUGACGCUGCACCCCACGGUUUAGGUUCUAGGGGGAGCCAAAGAUAACCGUAAAAUCCACAUAUUUAAAAGUCUUAUAACUUUUUAUUUUUGUCCCCACUGGCCUCCAAGUUUUCUAGGAUGAUGCAAUGUCCAGCCAUCAACACAUUUGUGAAGGAAUUUUUACUCGGCAAAAGAGCGCCCCCCAUGGCAGGAGAAAAAAGUCAAUUUUUUCUUGUCCACUAAGGUGAAAAUACACAUUGUUGAGUGCUACGCCUGUAUGUUUUGUCGUAUUGACACAAAAUUUUACAUACACGUGUAUUUACAUAAGAUCUUCGAAAAAGUCAAUGGCCACGUAUCUGUAAAAUGUACGGUUAAAGGGUUAUUUCGCAUUUUUUGCAGAUUCGCACACAUUGGAAUUUCGCUAAUUCCUCCGAAGGCUUUCGUUCCACUGGCACCACAUUUGCUCAGGCCAAUCUACACCCCAUGGCCAUUAAAAGUUAUUCAAAUCAUGACGCUGCACCCCACGGUUUAGGUUCUAGGGGGCGCCAAAUAUAACGCUAAAAUCCACAUAUUUAAAAGUCUUAUAACUUUUUAUUUUUGUCCUCACUGGCCUCCAUGUUUUCUAGGAUGAUGCAAUGUCCAGCCAUCAACACAUUUGUGAAGGAGUUUUUUCUCUUUAAAAGAGCGCCCCCCAUGGCAGGAGAAUAAAGUCAAGUUUUUCCUGUUCAUCAUUCAAUGGCUCAAACGCACUGCUCUCUCGGCAAAAGCGAAAGGAGGAGCAACUUGCCAUUUGGAUAUAUCUUAGCUGUGUUUGUGCCCUCACUCAUGGUCCAGACUUUUUUCAAAUAGGACAUGGAGUUUUUCUGCAGCGAGCGUUUUGGUAGAAACUGCGCCUCCCGUUCAUUAUAAUGGUAAAUGACCACAAACAAGUGCGCACACCAUCUUUGGACCUUGAGUGUGACGCGAUCGGGUGGGGGAGGCGGUCGCGCUGGGGGCGGCGUGACACGGCUCGGGCCCGCCAGUGCCCCAACGGGGCCCUAGUUUCUUCUUUUUCCUCCCCUUUGAACUGGAAAAUGGCCCACUUCCCACUGGCGAAAACUCAUGAAAUUUGGCAGGACGACCGGGCCUGGUGAAAAAUUCGAUAUUCUGAAGUCGCCCAAACAAUAAAAUGCAAAAUGGCUCCAUAGCGCCCCCUAAGGUGGAAAUUCACACUAUUGACUGUCACGCCUGUACGCUUUGUCAUAUUGACACAAAAAUUGACACACAUAUGUAUCUCAAUAAGAUCUACAAAAAAGUCAGUGCGGCCGUAUCUGUCAAAAUUACGGUUAAAGGGUUAUUUCGCAUUUUUUGCCGAUCCGCACACAUUGGAAUUUCGCUAACUCCUCCGAAGGCUUUCGUUCCACCGGCACCACAUUUGCUCAGGCCAAUCUACACCCCGUGGCCAUUAAAAGUUAUCAAAAUCAUGACGCUGCACCCCAAGGUUUAGGUUCUAGGGGGCGCCAAAGAUAACACUAAAAUCCACAUAUUUAAAAGUCUUAUAACUUUUUAUUUUUGUCCUCACUGGCCUCCAAGUUUUCUAGGAUGAUGCAAUGUCCAGCCAUCAACACAUUUGUGAAGGAAUUUUUACUCCCCAAAAGAGCGCCCCCCCAUGGCAGGAGAAAAAAGUCCAUUUUUUCUUGUCCCCUAAGGUGAAAAUACACAUUGUUGAGUGUCAAGCCUAUACGCUUUGUCAAAAUGACACAAAAAUUGACACACACAUGUAACUCAAUAAGAUCUACAAAAAAGUCCAUGCGCGCGUAUCUGUCAAAUGUACAGUUAAAGGGUUAUUCCGCAUUUUUUGCCGAUACGCACACAUUGGAAUUUCGCUAACUCCUCCGAAGGCUUUCGUUCCACCGGCACCACAUUUGCUCAGGCCAAUCUACACCCCAUGGCCAUUAAAAGUUAUUCAAAUCAUGAUGCUGCACCCCAUGGUUUAGGUUCUAGGGGGCGCCAAAAAUAACCCAAAAAUCCACAUUCUUAAAUGUUUUAUAACUUUUUAUUUUUGUCCUCACUGGCCUCCAAGUUUUCUAGGAUGAUGCAAUGUCCAGCCAUCAACACAUUUGUGAAGGAAUUUUUACUCCCCAAAAGAGCGCCCCCCAUGGUAGGAGAAAAAGGCAAUUUUUUCUUGUCCCCUUACAUAAAAAUACACAUUGUUGAGUGUCACGCCUGAACGCUUUGUCAUAUUGACACAAAAAUUGACAAUCAUGUGUAUCUCAAUUAGAUCUACGAAAAAGUCAAAGAGCGCGUAUCUGUAUAAUGUACGGUUAAAGGGCUAUUUUGCAUUUUUUGCCGAUUCGCACACAUUGGAAUGUGGCUAUCUCCUCCUAAGGCUUUCGUCCCACCGAUACCAAAUUUGCUCAGGGCAAUCUACACCCCAUGCCCAUUCAAAGUUGUAAAAAUCAUGACGCUGCACCCCACGGUUUACGUUCUAGGGGGCGCCAAAGAUGACCCAAAAAUCCACAUUCUUAAAAGUCAUUUUGGCCACUGCAGGAGUACAGAGUACUGCAGUUCUAGGGGGCGCCAAAGAUGACCCAAAAAUCCACAUUCUUAAAAGUCUUUUUGGCCACUGCAGGAGUACAGAGUACUGCAGGAUACACACACAUAUACACACACGCCAACAUACACACACACACACACACACACACACACACACACACACACACACACACACACACACACACCCACACUCAGAGUCUGGUUUUUAGCACCUGCAAAAACAUGCUGUUUACAUAUUUGACAAGAAUGCAGAGGCUUCCUUUUGCCGCUGAAAAAAAUCAAAUUUCAAACACAACUUGACUGUUCAUUUCUCCAAAAGACAACCAUGAAGCUCCAUUUCAAACCUGAAGCAGAUAGUUGGUGCAUGUGUACAGUAACCUGAGGGGAGUGAGGUGACUAUUUCUGAGGAGAACAUGAGCAGUGAAGAUUCACCUUGGAGCUAGAACAGGGACGUGCACAUGAUUAUACAGGGGCAGGGGCUCAAGUUUUUUCCAGUCAUUUAUACAAUAUGGAAAUUAAUGUGAAAUUAAACCACAAAUAUGUGUGAUGAACUGUUUUUAAAACUUAAACUUCAAAUAAAAAUUGUAAACUUCAAAACAUAUGCAAAUUUUUAACAAAGAACAUAGUAAUUUACCUCUAUUUACAUCAAAAUGCAGGCAAUGGCCCAGGCGUUCUUUGUAAAAUUAUUUACAAAACACUGUAUAGUCUCACAAAUGUCACUUUUUAUUUAUGCCACUACAAAAAAACAUGAUGUAAAUGAUGCAUGAUGUAAAACAUGAUGUAAAAAACUUGUGUAGAUCCUCCUCUAUGUCAGUCCAUGUGUAAUUUUUCCAUAAUUCUUUGUUUUUUGCAGCAUUUUUGUUAGUGUAACUGCAGAUUGUGCUGACAGUGUCUAUGGCACAAAAAAAAAAAAAAAUUUUUAAUGCCUCAACAUGAACCCGUGGUGGUCUCUGAGGGUGAAACCUGCUAACUGCUGCAGCUCUGUCAGCUUCAGUCUCCCAUGCAGAGCUCUGAGCGCAUGUGUGGCUCUGCACCCUUAGCAGCGUUGCUAACUCCUCAGUAUGGAAAGCCUGCUUCAUGUCAGAGUCUCUAAACUCCAGAAGAAGUCGAUAAAAGUCCCUUUCUUUCUAAAAAAAGUCGUUAGGGGGUCUGAAAAGUCAUUGAAUCUAACAACAAAGUCGCUAGGUUUGCAACUACGUGUCCCAGACUGCAUCCCUGCUGAGAGUCCCUCCCUCCCUUCUCAUGUUGCAGGAAGAACGUAAGCGCCCCCCUUGUCAAUCAGUCACCAUAUAAUUUUGGAUUGGUUGUUGUGGUGAAGUUUUCCACCAAUAGGAGAGAUGUUGUGGUGUGUUUUUUUCUUUUGGCAAGCCUUUUCCGCCUGUAAGAACUGUCGCUAAUGUCUGCAUGCUAUGUUUUCCUGUCUCAUACAGCGCGAUCGAGCGCCGAACGUGAUCAAAAUAAGCAGAAAACAAGUAUCGCGGACAUAAUUUAUCAUAACUCUGGUUUUAUUUGGCCUAUCAACACAAUUUAAAAACUGGUAUAUAGGUUGAGGUCCUCACUUUUGAGAUAAGUUGAAACGGAGAGUCAACGAGGCUCCGUCUUGCAGCUACAUCCGGUUAAAUAUGUCAUGUGACUUGAACGCACACACACAGACACACACACACACACACACACACACACACACACACACACACACACACACACACACACACACACACACACACUCAGAGUCUGGUUUUUAGCACCUGCAAAAACAUGCUAUUUACAUAUUUGACAAGAAUGCAGAGGCUCCUUUUGCCCCUGAAAAAAAUCAAAUUUCAAACACAACUUGACUGGUCAUUUCUCCAAAAGACAACCAUGAAGCUCCAUCCAAACCUGAAGCAGGCAGUUGGUGCAUGUGUACAGUAACCUGAGGGGAGUGAGGUGAGUGCUUCUGAGGAGAACAUGAGCAGUGAAGAUUCACCUUGGAGCUAGAACAGAGACAUGCACAUGAUUAUACAGGGGCAGGGGCUCAAGUUUUUUCCAGUCGUUUAUACAAUAUGGAAAUUAAUGUGAAAUUAAAACACAAAGUAUUAAUAGAAAGGUAAUGACUGUCCUGUGUAGGUGACAGUGAUAUCCAAUAGGCUAGGCACUCACGAGGCUGGCUGUGGCAAGUGUAAGUGAAAGCAACACGCACUGGCAGGAAGAACAGCAAACGCCGAUGAAGGAAAAGGGUCUUUGCAGUGAUGGGCGUUACCAGAGAGGGCGAUGGCCAGAGGACACAAAUGGGACGGGGAGGCAGCACGUUGGGGGGGGGGGGGGGCGCGACACGGCUCGGGCCCGCCAGUGCCCCAACGGGGUCCUAGUUUCUUUUUCCUCCCCUUUGAACUGGAAAAUGGCCCACUUCCCACUGGCGAAAACUCAUGAAAUUUGGCAGGACGACCGGGCCUGGUGAAAAAUUUGAUAUUCCGAAGUCGCCCAAACAAGAAAAUGCAAAAUGGCUCCAUAGCGCCCCCUAAGGUGAAAAAUUCACCUGACGCCUGUACGCUUUGUCAAAAUGACACAAAAAUUGACACACACAUGUAUCUCAAUAAGAUCUACAAAAAAGUCAGUGCGGGCGUAUCUGUCAAAUGUACGGUUAAAGGGUUAUUGCGCAUUUUUUGCCGAUCCGCACACAUUGGAAUUUCGCUAACUCCUCCGAAGGCUUUCGUUCCACCGGCACCACAUUUGCUCAGGCCAAUCUACACCCCAUGGCCAUUAAAAGUUAUUCAAAUCAUGACGCUGCACCCCACGGUUUAGGUUCUAGGGGGCGCCAAAGAUAACACUAAAAUCCACAUAUUUCAAAGUCUUAUAACUUUUUAUUUUUGUCCUCACUGGCCUCCAAGUUUUCUAGGAUGAUGCAAUGUCCAGCCAUCAACACAUUUGUGAAGGAAUUUUUACUCCCCAAAAGAGCGCCCCCCAUGGCAGGAGAAAAAAGUCCAUUUUUUCUUGUCCCCUAAGGUGAAAAUACACAUUGUUGAGUGUCACGCCUGUACGCUUUGUCAAAAUGACACAAAAAUUGACACACACAUGUAUCUCAAUAAGAUCUACAAAAAAGUCAAUGGGCGCGCUGUAUCUGUCAAAUGUACGGUUAAAGGGUUAUUCCGCAUUUUUUGCCGAUUCGCACACAUUGGAAUUUCGCUAACUCCUCCGAAGGCUUUCGUUCCACCGGCACCACAUUUGCUCAGGCCAAAUUACACCCCAUGGCCAUUAAAAGUUAUUCAAAUCAUGACGCUGCACCCCACGGUUUACGUUCUAGGGGGCGCCAAAGAUAACCCAAAAAUCCAAAUUUUUAAAAGUCUUAUAACUUUUUAUUUUUGUCCUCACUGGCCUCCAAGUUUUCUAGGAUGAUGCAAUGUCCAGCCAUCAACACAUUUGUGAAGGAAUUUUUACUCCCUAAAAGAGCGCCCCCCCAUGGCAGGAGAAAAAAGUCCAUUUUUUCUUGUCCCCUAAGGUGAAAAUACACAUUGUUGACUGUCACGCCUGUACGCUUUGGCAAAAUGACACAAAAAUUGACAAUCAUGUGUAUCUCAAUUAGAUCUACGAAAAAGUCAAGAGCGCGUAUCUGUAUAAUGUACGGUAAAAGGGCUAUUUUGCAUUUUUUGCCGAUUCGCACAUAUUGGAAUUUCGCUAACUCCUCCUAAGGCUUUCGUCCCACUGACACCAAAUUUGCUCAGGCCAAUCUACACUCCAUGGCCAUUCAAAGUUGUAAAAAUCAUGACGCGGCACCCCACGGUUUACGUUUUAGGGGGCGCCAAAGAUGACCCAAAUAUACAUUACAGUAGACAAAGUAGUUUUGCCCACUGAGUGGCGCCAAAGGGACUUGUCUGUGGAGUCUGUGAGUCACUAUUGGCCGUUUUUGACUACUUUAGAUUUUACCUUUAUAUUUCCUCUUACAAAAUUUUUACCUUGCCUUGCCUGGUAUAAUUUUUUUCAGCACAACCUCACCUGUGUCAAUUUACAGUUAUUUUAUCAUUUUGACAUACUAUAUUUACACAUUGGACCCAAAUUCACACACAAAACAUAAAAUCCGAGUGGAAAAAAGUAACGUUUUUACUGUGAAAACCACAAAUAUGUGUGAUGAACUGUUUUUAAAACUUAAACUUCAAAUAAAAAUUGUAAACUUCAAAACAUAUGCAAAUUUUUAACAAAGAACAUAGUAAUUUACCUCUAUUUACAUCAAAAUGCAGGCAAUGGCCCAGGCGUUCUUUGUAAAAUUAUUUACAAAACACUGUAUAGUCUCACAAAUGUCACUUUUUAUUUAUGCCACUACAAAAAAACAUGAUGUAAAUGAUGCAUGAUGUAAAACAUGAUGUAAAAAACUUGUGUAGAUCCUCCUCUAUGUCAGUCCAUGUGUAAUUUUUCCAUAAUUCUUUGUUUUUUGCAGCAUUUUUGUUAGUGUAACUGCAGAUUGUGCUGACAGUGUCUAUGGCAAAAAAAAAAAAAAAAAACUGAAAAUGCCUCAACAUGAACCCCUGGUGGUCUCUGAGGGUGAAACCUGCUAACUGCUGCAGCUCUGUCAGCUUCAGUCUCCCAUGCAGAGCUCGGAGCGCAUGUGUGGCUCUGCACCCUUAGCAGCAUUGCUAACUCCUCAGUAAGGAAAGCCUGCUUCAUGUCAGAGUCUCUAAACUCCAGAAGAAGUCGAUAAAAGUCACUUUCUUUCUAAAAAAACGUCGUUAGGGGGUCUGAAAAGUCAUUGAAUCUAACAACAAAGUCGCUAGGUUUGCAACUACGUGUCCCAGACUGCAUCCCUGCUGAGAGUCCCUCCCUCCCUUCUCAUAUUGCAGGAAGAACGUAAGCGCCCGCCCCUUGUCAAUCAGUCACCAUAUAAUUUUGGAUUGGUUGUUGUGGUGAAGUUUUCCACCAAUAGGAGAGAUGUUGUGGUGUGUUUUUUUUUUCCUUUGGCAAGCCUUUUCCGCCUGUAAGACCUGUCGCUAAUGUCUGCAUGCUAUGUUUUCCUGUCUCAUACAGCGCGAUCGAGCGCCGAACGUGAUCAAAAUAAGCAGAAAACAAGUAUCGCGGACAUAAUUUAUCAUAACUCUGGUUUUAUUUGGCCUAUCAACACAAUUUAAAAACUGGUAUAUAGGUUGAGGUCCUCACUUUUGAGAUAAGUUGAAACGGAGAGUCAACGAGGCUCCGUCUUGCAGCUACAUCCGGUUAAAUAUGUCAUGUGACUUGAACACACACACACACACACACACAGACACACACACACACACACACACACACACACACACACACACACACACACACACACACACACACACACACACUCAGAGUCUGGUUUUUAGCACCUGCAAAAACAUGCUAUUUACAUAUUUGACAAGAAUGCAGAGGCUCCUUUUGCCCCUGAAAAAAAUCAAAUUUCAAACACAACUUGACUGGUCAUUUCUCCAAAAGACAACCAUGAAGCUCCAUCCAAACCUGAAGCAGGCAGUUGGUGCAUGUGUACAGUAACCUGAGGGGAGUGAGGUGACUGCUUCUGAGGAGAACAUGAGCAGUGAAGAUUCACCUUAGAGCUAGAACAGAGACGUGCACAUGAUUAUACAGGGGCAGGGGCUCAAGUUUUUUCCAGUUGUUUAUACAAUAUGGAAAUUAAUGUGAAAUUAAAAAACAAAGUAUUAAUAGAAAGGUAAUGACUGUCCUGUGUAGGUGACAGUGAUAUCCAAUAGGCUAGGCACUCACGAGGCUGGCUGUGGCAAGUGUAAGUGAAAGCAACACGCACUGGCAGGAAGAACAGCAAACGCCGAUGAAGGAAAAGGGUCUUUGCAGUGAUGGGCGUUACCAGAGAGGGCGAUGGCCAGAGGACACAAAUGGGACGGGGAGGCAGCGCGUUGGGGGGGGGACGCGACACAGCUCGGGCCCGCCAGUGCCCCAACGGGGUCCUAGUUAGGGCCCGAGCGUAGCUGCUAAGCAGCUGCGAGAGCCCUAUUAUUCCCCAAGUGGUUUUUUUAGGGCCCGAGCGUAGCUGCUAAGCAGCUGCGAGAGCCCUCUUGUUCCUGCAUGUUUCCUUCUUUCGUUAUUAUUUUUCCUCCGCUUUAAACUGGAAAAUGGCCCACUUCCCACUGGCGAAAACUCAGGAAAUUUGGCAGGACGACCGGGCCUGGUGAAAAAUUCGAUAUUCUGAAGUCGCCCAAACAAUAAAAUGCAAAAUGGCUCCAUAGCGCCCCCUAAGGUGAAAAUUCACAUGACGGCUGUACGCUUUGUCAUAUUGACACAAAAAUUGACACACACAUGUAUCUCAAUAAGAUCUACAAAAAAGUCAGUGCGGGCGUAUCUGUCAAAUGUACGGUUAAUGGGUUAUUUUGCAUUUUUUGCAGAUCUGCACACAUUGGAAUUUCGCUAACUCCUCUGAAGGCUUUCGUUCGACCGGCACCACAUUUGCGCAGGCCAAUCUACCCCCCAUGGCCAUUAAAAGUUGUCCAAAUCAUGACGCUGCACCCCACGGUUUACGUUCUAGGGGGCGCCAAAGAUAACCCAAAAUCCACAUUCUUAAAAGUCUUAUAACUUUUUAUUUUUGUCCUCACUGCCCUCCAAGUUUUCUAGGAUGAUGCAAUGUCCAGCCAUCAACACAUUUGUGAAGGAAUUUUUACUCCCCAAAAGAGCGCCCCCCCAUGGCAGGAGAAAAAAGUCAAUUUUUUCUUGUCCCCUUACAUGAAAAUACACAUUGUUGAGUGUCACGCCUGAACGCUUUGUCAUAUUGACACAAAAAUUGACAAUCAUGUGUAUCUCAAUUAGAUCUACGAAAAAGUCAAAAAGCGCGUAUCUGUAUAAUGUAUGGUUAAAGGGCUAUUUCGCAUUUUUUGCCGAUUCGCACACAUUGGAAUGUGGCUAUCUCCUCCUAAGGCUUUCGUCCCACCGAUACCAAAUUUGCUCAGGGCAAUCUACACCCCAUGCCCAUUCAAAGUUGUAAAAAUCAUGACGCUGCACCCCACGGUUUACGUUCUAGGGGGCGCCAAAGAUGACCCAAAAAUCCACAUUCUUAAAAGUCAUUUUGGCCACUGCAGGAGUACAGAGUACUGCAGUUCUAGGGGGCGCCAAAGAUGACCCAAAAAUCCACAUUCUUAAAAGUCUUUUUGGCCACUGCAGGAGUACAGAGUACUGCAGGAUACACACACACACACACACACACACACACACACACACACACACACACUCAGAGUCUGUUUUUUAGCACCUGCAAAAACAUGCUGUUUACAUAUUUGACAAGAAUGCAGAGGCUUCCUUUUGCCCCUGAAAAAAAUCAAAUUUCAAACACAACUUGACUGUUCAUUUCUCCAAAAGACAACCAUGAAGCUCCAUCCAAACCUGAAGCAGAUAGUUGGUGCAUGUGUACAGUAACCUGAGGGGAGUGAGGUGACUAUUUCUGAGGAGAACAUGAGCAGUGAAGAUUCACCUUGGAGCUAGAACAGGGACGUGCACAUGAUUAUACAGGGGCAGGGGCUCAAGUUUUUUCCAGUCAUUUAUACAAUAUGGAAAUUAAUGUGAAAUUAAACCACAAAUAUGUGUGAUGAACUGUUUUUAAAACUUAAACUUCAAAUAAAAAUUGUAAACUUCAAAACAUAUGCAAAUUUUUAACAAAGAACAUAGUAAUUUACCUCUAUUUACAUCAAAAUGCAGGCAAUGGCCCAGGCGUUCUUUGUAAAAUUAUUUACAAAACACUGUUUAGUCUCACAAAUGUCACUUUUUAUUUAUGCCACUACAAAAAAACAUGAUGUAAAUGAUGCAUGAUGUAAAACAUGAUGUAAAAAACUUGUGUAGAUCCUCCUCUAUGUCAGUCCAUGUGUAAUUUUUCCAUAAUUCUUUGUUUUUUGCAGCAUUUUUGUUAGUGUAACUGCAGAUUGUGCUGACAGUCUAUGGGAAAAAAAAAAAAACUGAAAAUGCCUCAACAUGAACCCCUGGUGGUCUCUGAGGGUGAAACCUGCUAACUGCUGCAGCUCUGUCAGCUUCAGUCUCCCAUGCAGAGCUCGGAGCGCAUGUGUGGCUCUGCACCCUUAGCAGCGUUGCUAACUCCUCAGUAAGGAAAGCCUGCUUCAUGUCAGAGUCUCUAAACUCCAGAAGAAGUCGAUAAAAGUCCCUUUCUUUCUAAAAAAAGUCGUUAGGGGGUCUGAAAAGUAAUUGAAUCUAACAACAAAGUCGCUAGGUUUGCAACUACGUGUCCCAGACUGCAUCCCUGCUGAGAGUCCCUCCCUCCCUUCUCAUGUUGCAGGAAGAACAUAAGCGCCCGCCCCUUGUCAAUCAGUCACCAUAUAAUUUUGGAUUGGUUGUUGUGGUGAAGUUUUCCACCAAUAGGAGAGAUGUUGUGGUGUGUUUUUUUUUUUCUUUUGGCAAGCCUUUUCCGCCUGUAAGACCUGUCGCUAAUGUGUGCAUGCUAUGUUUUCCUGUCUCAUACAGCGCGAUCGAGCGCCGAACGUGAUCAAAAUAAGCAGAAAAAAAGUAUCGCGGACAUAAUUUAUCAUAACUCUGGUUUUAUUUGGCCUAUCAACACAAUUUAAAAACUGGUAUAUAGGUUGAGGUCCUCACUUUUGAGAUAAGUUGAAACGGAGAGUCAACGAGGCUCCGUCUUGCAGCUACAUCCGGUUAAAUAUGUCAUGUGACUUGAACGCUGGGGAGCGUCAAUCGAAUCGAAUCAAACCUAACUCUCAGAUGAAUCUUCAAAAUUCACCUCAGAAAUAUGCUUAUUAUUCUUCUCAGAGUACUGCAGGAUACACACACACACACACACACACAGACACACACACACACACACGCACACACACACACACACACUGAGUCUGUUUUUUAGCACCUGCAAAAACAUGCUAUUUACAUAUUUGACAAGAAUGCAGAGGCUUCCUUUUGCCCCUGAAAAAAAUCAAAUUUCAAACACAACUUGACUGCUCAUUUCUCCAAAAGACAACCAUGAAGCUCCAUCCAAACCUGAAGCAGGCAGUUGGUGCAUGUGUACAGUAACCUGAGGGGAGUGAGGUGACUGCUUCUGAGGAGAACAUGAGCAGUGAAGAUUCACCUUGGAGCUAGAACAGGGACGUGCACAUGAUAAUACAGGGGCAGGGGCUCAAGUUUUUUCCAGUCGUUUAUACAAUAUGGAAAUUAAUGUGAAAUUAAAAGUAUGACUGUCCUGUGUAGGUGACAGUGAUAUCCAAUAGGCUAGGCACUCACGAGGCUGGCUGUGGCAAGUGUAAGUGAAAGCAACACGCACUGGCAGGAAGAACAGCAAACGCCGAUGAAGGAAAAGGGUCUUUGCAGUGAUGGGCGUUACCAGAGAGGGCGAUGGCCAGAGGACGCGAAUGGGACGGGGAGGCAGCGCGUUGGGGGGGGGGGGGGGGGGCACGGCUCGGGCCCGCCAGUGCCCCAACGGGGCCCUAGUCUUUGUUUCUUUCUUUCUUCUUUUUCCUCCCCUUUGAACUGGAAAAUGGCCCACUUCCCACUGGCGAAAACUCAUGAAAUUUGGCAGGACGACCGGGCCUGGUGAAAAAUUUGAUAUUCCGAAGUCGCCCAAACAAGAAAAUGCAAAAUGGCUCCAUAGCGCCCCCUAAGGUGAAAAUUCACACUAUUGACUGUCACGCCUUUACGCUUUGUCAUAUUGACACAAAAAUUGACACACACAUGUAUCUCAAUAAGAUCUACAAAAAAGUCAGUGCGGGCGUAUCUGUCAAAUGUACGGUUAAAGGGUUAUUCCGCAUUUUUUGCCGAUCCGCACACAUUGGAAUUUCGCUAACUCCUCCGAAGGCUUUCGUUCCACCGGCACCACAUUUGCUCAGGCCAAUCUACACCCCAUGGCCAUUAAAAGUUAUUCAAAUCAUGACGCUGCACCCCACGGUUUAGGUUCUAGGGGGCGCCAAAGAUAACCCUAAAAUCCACAUAUUUAAAAGUCUUAUAACUUUUUAUUUUUGCCCUCACUGGCCUCCAAGUUUUCUAGGAUGAUGCAAUGUCCAGCCAUCAACACAUUUGUGAAGGAAUUUUUAAUCCCCAAAAGAGCGCCCCCCCAUGGCAGGAGAAAAAAGUCCAUUUUUUCUUGUCCCCUAAGGUGAAAAUACACAUUGUUGAGUGUCACGCCUGUACGCUUUGUCAUAUUGACACAAAAUUUGACACACACAUGUAUCUCAAUAAGAUCUACGAAAAAGUCAAUGCGCGCGUAUCUGUCAAAUGUACGGUUAAAGGGUUAUUCCGCAUUUUUUGCUGAUCCGCACACAUUGGAAUUUCGCUAACUCCUCCUAAGGCUGGCGUUCCACCGGCACCACAUUUGCUCAGGCCAAUCUACACCCCAUGGCCAUUAAAAGUUAUUCAAAUCAUGACGCUGCACCCCACGGUUUAGGUUCUAGGGGGCGCCAAAGAUAACCCUAAAAUCCACAUAUUUCAAAGUCUUAUAACUUUUUAUUUUUGCCCUCACUGGCCUCCAAGUUUUCUAGGAUGAUGCAAUGUCCAGCCAUCAACACAUUUGUGAAGGAAUUUUUAAUCCCCAAAAGAGCGCCCCCCCAUAGCAGGAGAAAAAAGUCCAUUUUUUCUUGUCCCAUAAGAUGAAAAAACACAUUGUUGACUGUCAUACCUGUACGCUUUGUCAUAUUGACACAAAAUUUGACAAUCACAUGUAUCUCAAUAAGAUCUACGAAAAAGUCAAUGCGCGCGUAUCUGUAAAAUGUACGGUUAAAGGGCUAUUUUGCAUUUUUUGCCGAUUCGCACACAUUGGAAUGUGGCUAACUCCUCCUAAGGCUUUCGUCCCACUGACACCAAAUUUGCUCAGGCCAAUCUACACCCCAUGGCCAUUCAAAGUUGUAAAAAUCAUGACGCUGCACCCCACGGUUUACGUUCUAGGGGGCGCCAAAGAUGACCCAAAUAUCCACAUUCUUAAAAGAAUCCACAUCCCCCCCCCCCCAUCCCCCAACCCCCAUGGCAGGAGAAACAGUCAAGUUUUUCCUGCCCAUCACUCAAUGGCUCAAUCGCAUCACUCUCCCGGCAACACCGUAACGAGGAGCAACUUGCCGUUUGGAUAUAUCCUUGAUGUGUUUGUGCCCUCACUCAUGGUCCAGACUUUUUUCAAAUAGGACAUGUAGUUUGUCUGCAGCGAGUGUUUUGGUAGAAACUGCGCCUCCCAUUCAUUAUAAUGGGAAAUGACCACAGACAAGUGCGCACACCAUCUUUGGACCUUGAGUGUGACGCGAUCAGGAGGGGGAGGCGGUCGCGCUGGGGGCGGCGCAACGCGGCUCGGGCCCGACAGUGCCCCACCGGGGCCCUAGUUAGGGCCCGAGCGUAGCUGCUAAGCAGCUGCGAGAGCCCUAUUAUUCCCCAAGUGGUUUUUCUUUGUUUCUUUUUUCUUUUUCCUCCCCUUUGAACUGGAAAAUGGCCCACUUCCCACUGGCGAAAACUCAUGAAAUUUGGCGGGACGACCGGGCCUGGUGAAAAAUUUGAUAUUCCGAAGUCGCCCAAACAAGAAAAUGCAAAAUGGCUCCAUAGCGCCCCCUAAGGUGAAAAUUCACACUAUUGACUGUCACGCCUGUACGCUUUGUCAAAAUGACACAAAAAUUGACACACACAUGUAUCUCAAUAAGAUCUACAAAAAAGUCAGUGCGGGCGUAUCUGUCAAAUUUACGGUUAAAGGGUUAUUUCGCAUUUUUUGCCGAUCCGCACACAUUGGAAUUUCGCUAACUCCUCCGAAGGCUUUCGUUCCACCGGCACCACAUUUGCUCAGGCCAAUCUACACCCCAUGGCCAUUAAAAGUUAUUCAAAUCAUGACGCUGCACCCCACGGUUUAGGUUCUAGGGGGCGCCAAAGAUAACCCUAAAAUCCACAUAUUUAAAAGUCUUAUAACUUUUUAUUUUUGCCCUCACUGGCCUCCAAGUUUUCUAGGAUGAUGCAAUGUCCAGCCAUCAACACAUUUGUGAAGGAAUUUUUACUCCCCAAAAGAGCGCCCCCCCAUGGCAGGAGAAAAAAGUCCAUUUUUUCUUGUCCCCUAAGGUGAAAAUACACAUUGUUGAGUGUCACGCCUGUACGCUUUGUCAAAAUGACACAAAAAUUGACACACACAUGUAUCUCAAUAAGAUCUACAAAAAAGUCAAUGCGCGCGUAUCUGUCAAAUGUACGGUUAAAGGGUUAUUCCGCAUUUUUUGCCGAUUCGCACACGUUGGAAUUUCGCUAACUCCUCCGAAGGCUUUCGUUCCACCGGCACCACAUUUGCUCAGGCCAAUCUACACCCCAUGGCCAUUAAAAGUUAUUCAAAUCAUGACGCUGCACCCCACGGUUUACGUUCUAGGGGGCGCCAAAGAUAACCCAAAAAUCCACAUUUUUAAAAGUCUUAUAACUUUUUAUUUUUGUCCUCACUGGCCUCCAAGUUUUCUAGGAUGAUGCAAUGUCCAGCCAUCAACACAUUUGUGAAGGAAUUUUUACUCCCCAAAAGAGCGCCCCCCCAUGGUAGGAGAAAAAAGUCAAUUUUUUCUUGUCCCCUUACAUGAAAAUACACAUUGUUGAGUGUCACGCCUGAACGCUUUGUCAUAUUGACACAAAAAUUGACACACACAUGUAUCUCAAUAAGAUCUACGAAAAAGUCAAAGAGCGCGUAUCUGUAUAAUGUACGGUUAAAGGGCUAUUUUGCAUUUUUUGCCGAUUCGCACACAUUGGAAUGUGGCUAUCUCCUCCUAAGGCUUUCGUCCCACCGAUACCAAAUUUGCUCAGGGCAAUCUACACCCCAUGCCCAUUCAAAGUUGUAAAAAUCAUGACGCUGCACCCCACGGUUUACGUUCUAGGGGGCGCCAAAGAUGACCCAAAAAUCCACAUUCUUAAAAGUCAUUUUGGCCACUGCAGGAGUACAGAGUACUGCAGUUCUAGGGGGCGCCAAAGAUGACCCAAAAAUCCACAUUCUUAAAAGUCUUUUUGGCCACUGCAGGAGUACAGAGUACUGCAGGAUACACACACAUAUACACACACGCCAACAUACACACACACACACACACACACACACACACACACACACACACACACACACACACACACACACACACUCAGAGUCUGUUUUUUAGCACCUGCAAAAACAUGCUGUUUACAUAUUUGACAAGAAUGCAGAGGCUUCCUUUUGCCCCUGAAAAAAAUCAAAUUUCAAACACAACUUGACUGUUCAUUUCUCCAAAAGACAACCAUGAAGCUCCAUUUCAAACCUGAAGCAGAUAGUUGGUGCAUGUGUACAGUAACCUGAGGGGAGUGAGGUGACUAUUUCUGAGGAGAACAUGAGCAGUGAAGAUUCACCUUGGAGCUAGAACAGGGACGUGCACAUGAUUAUACAGGGGCAGGGGCUCAAGUUUUUUCCAGUCAUUUAUACAAUAUGGAAAUUAAUGUGAAAUUAAACCACAAAUAUGUGUGAUGAACUGUUUUUAAAACUUAAACUUCAAAUAAAAAUUGUAAACUUCAAAACAUAUGCAAAUUUUUAACAAAGAACAUAGUAAUUUACCUCUAUUUACAUCAAAAUGCAGGCAAUGGCCCAGGCGUUCUUUGUAAAAUUAUUUACAAAACACUGUAUAGUCUCACAAAUGUCACUUUUUAUUUAUGCCACUACAAAAAAACAUGAUGUAAAUGAUGCAUGAUGUAAAACAUGAUGUAAAAAACUUGUGUAGAUCCUCCUCUAUGUCAGUCCAUGUGUAAUUUUUCCAUAAUUCUUUGUUUUUUGCAGCAUUUUUGUUAGUGUAACUGCAGAUUGUGCUGACAGUGUCUAUGGCACAAAAAAAAAAAAAAAUUAAAAUGCCUCAACAUGAACCCCUGGUGGUCUCUGAGGGUGAAACCUGCUAACUGCUGCAGCUCUGUCAGCUUCAGUCUCCCAUGCAGAGCUCUGAGCGCAUGUGUGGCUCUGCACCCUUAGCAGCGUUGCUAACUCCUCAGUAAGGAAAGCCUGCUUCAUGUCAGAGUCUCUAAACUCCAGAAGAAGUCGAUAAAAGUCCCUUUCUUUCUAAAAAAAAGUCGUUAGGGGGUCUGAAAAGUCAUUGAAUCUAACAACAAAGUCGCUAGGUUUGCAACUACGUGUCCCAGACUGCAUCCCUGCUGAGAGUCCCUCCCUCCCUUCUCAUGUUGCAGGAAGAACGUAAGCGCCCGCCCCUUGUCAAUCAGUCACCAUAUAAUUUUGGAUUGGUUGUUGUGGUGAAGUUUUCCACCAAUAGGAGAGAUGUUGUGGUGUGUUUUUUUUUCUUUUGGCAAGCCUUUUCCGCCUGUAAGACCUGUCGCUAAUGUCUGCAUGCUAUGUUUUCCUGUCUCAUACAGCGCGAUCGAGCGCCGAACGUGAUCAAAAUAAGCAGAAAAAAAGUAUCGCGGACAUAAUUUAUCAUAACUCUGGUUUUAUUUGGCCUAUCAACACAAUUUAAAAACUGGUAUAUAGGUUGAGGUCCUCACUUUUGAGAUAAGUUGAAACGGAGAGUCAACGAGGCUCCGUCUUGCAGCUACAUCCGGUUAAAUAUGUCAUGUGACUUGAACGCACACACAGACACACACACACGCACACACACACACACACACACACUCAGAGUCUGGUUUUUAGCACCUGCAAAAACAUGCUAUUUACAUAUUUGACAAGAAUGCAGAGGCUCCUUUUGCCCCUGAAAAAAAUCAAAUUUCAAACACAACUUGACUGGUCAUUUCUCCAAAAGACAACCAUGAAGCUCCAUCCAAACCUGAAGCAGGCAGUUGGUGCAUGUGUACAGUAACCUGAGGGGAGUGAGGUGAGUGCUUCUGAGGAGAACAUGAGCAGUGAAGAUUCACCUUGGAGCUAGAACAGAGACAUGCACAUGAUUAUACAGGGGCAGGGGCUCAAGUUUUUUCCAGUCGUUUAUACAAUAUGGAAAUUAAUGUGAAAUUAAAACACAAAGUAUUAAUAGAAAGGUAAUGACUGUCCUGUGUAGGUGACAGUGAUAUCCAAUAGGCUAAGCACUCACGAGGCUGGCUGUGGCAAGUGUAAGUGAAAGCAACACGCACUGGCAGGAAGAACAGCAAACGCCGAUGAAGGAAAAGGGUCUUUGCAGUGAUGGGCGUUAACAGAGAGGGCGAUGGCCAGAGGACACAAAUGGGACGGGGAGGCAGCACGUUGGGGGGGGGGGAGACGCGACACGGCUCGGGCCCGCCAGUGCCCCAACGGGGUCCUAGUUAGGGCCCGAGCGUAGCUGCUAAGCAGCUGCGAGAGCCCUCUUGUUCCUGAUGGAUUCUUCUUUCGUUAUUUUUCCUCCGCUUUAAACUGGAAAAUGGCCCACUUCCCACUGGCGAAAACUCAGGAAAUUUGGCAGGACGACCGGGCCUGGUGAAAAAUUUGAUAUUCUGAAGUCGCCCAAACAAAAAAAUGAAAAAUGGCUCCAUAGCGCCCCCUAUGGUGAAAACUCACCUGACGCCUGUACGCUUUGUCAAAAUGACACAAAAUUUGACACACAUGUGUAUCUCAAUAAGAUCUACAAAAAAGUCAGUGCGGGCGUAUCUGUCAAAUGUACGGUUAAAGGGCUAUUUCGCAUUUUUUGCCGAUCCGCACACAUUGGAAUUUCGCUAACUCCUCCGAAGGCUUUCGUUCCACCGGCACCAAAUUUGCUCAGGCCAAUCUACACCCCAUGGCCAUUAAAAGUUGUACAAAUCAUGACGCUGCACCCCACGGUUUAUGUUCUAGGGGGCGCCAAAAAUAACCCAAAAAUCCACAUUCUUAAAAGUCUUAUAACUUUUUAUUUUUGUCCUCACUGGCCUCCAAGUUUUCUAGGAUGAUGCUAUGUCCAGCCAUCAACACAUUUGUGAAGGAAUUUUUACUCCCCAAAAGAGCGCCCCCACAUGGCAGGAGAAAAAAGUCCAUUUUUUCUUGUCCCCUAAGGUGAAAAUACACAUUGUUGAGUGUCACACCUAUACGCUUUGUCAUAUUGACCCAAAAUUUGACAAUCACGUGUAUCUCAAUAAGAUCUACGAAAAAGUCAAUGGGCACGUAUCUGUAAAAUGUACGGUUAAAGGGUUAUUUCGCAUUUUUUCCCGAUCCGCACACAUUGGAAUUUCGCUAACUCCUCCGAAGGCUUUAGUUCCACCGCCACCAAAUUUGCUCAGGCCAAUCUACACCCCAUGGCCAUUAAAAGUUGUACAAAUCAUGACGCUGCACUCCACGGUUUAGGUUCUAGGGGGCGCCAAAGAUAACCCAAAAAUCCACAUUCUUAAUAGUCUUAUAACUUUUUAUUUUUGUCCUCACUGGCCUCCAAGUUUUCUAGGAUGAUGCAAUGUCCAGCCAUCAACACAUUUGUGAAGGAAUUUUUACUCCCGAAAAGAGCGCCCCCCCAUGGCAGGAGAAAAAAGUCCAUUUUUUCUUGUCCCCUAAGGUGAAAAAACACAUUGUUGACUGUCACGCCUAUACGCUUUGUCAAAAUGACACAAAAUUUGACACACACGUGUAUCUCAAUAAGAUCUACGAAAAAGUCAAUGGGCACGUAUCUGUAAAACGUACGGUUAAAGGGCUAUUUCGCAUUUUUUGCCGAUUCGCACACAUUGGAAUGUGGCUAACUCCUCCUAAGGCUUUCUUCCCACCAACACCAAAUUUGCUCAAGCCGAUCUACAUCCCAUGGCCAUUCAAAGUUGUAAAAAUCAUGCCGCUGCACCCCAUGGUUUACGUUCUAGGGGGCGCCAAAGAUGACCCAAAUAUCCACAUUCUUAAAAGAAUCCACCCCCCCCCCCCCAAGGCAGGAGAAAAAGUCCAGUUAACCCUGCCCAUCGCUCAAUGGCUCAAUCGCAUCGCUCUCCUGGCAACACCGUAAGGAGGAGCAACUUGCCAUUUGGAUAUAUCCUAGCUGUGUUUGUGCCCUCACUCAUGGUCCAGACUUUUUUCAAAUAGGACAUGUAGUUUGUCUGCAGCGACCGUUUUGGUAGAAACUGCACCUCCCAUUCAUUAUAAUGGGAAAUGACCACAGACAAGUGCGCACACCAUCUUUGGACCUUGAGUGUGAUGCGAUCGUGAGGGGGAGGCGGUCGCGCUGGGGGCGGCGCGACGCGGCUCGGGCCCGACAGUGCCCCACCGGGGCCCUAGUUAUUAGGGCCCGAGCGUAGCUGCUAAGCAGCUGCGAGAGCCCUCUUGUUCCUGCAUGUUUCCUUCUUUAGGGCCCGAGCGUAGCUGCUAAGCAGCUGCGAGAGCCCUCUUGUUCCUGCAUGUUUCCUUCUUUUGUUAUUAUUAGGGCCCGAGCGUAGCUGCUAAGCAGCUGCGAGAGCCCUCUUGUUCCUGCAUGUUUCCUUCUUUUGUUAUUAGGGCCCGAGCCAGCUGCAGAGCAGCCGGGCGUAGGCCCUGUUAUUCCUGUAGGGGUUUUUCUUUGUUUCUUUCUUUCUUCUUUUUCCUCCCCUUUGAACUGGAAAAUGGCCCACUUCCCACUGGCGAAAACUCAGGAAAUUUGGCAGGACGACCGGGCCUGGUGAAAAAUUUGAUAUUCCGAAGUCGCCCAAACAAGAAAAUGCAAAAUGGCUCCAUAGCGCCCCCUAAGGUGAAAAUUCACACUAUUGACUGUCACGCCUGUACGCUUUGUCAAAAUGACACAAAAAUUGACACACACAUGUAUCUCAAUAAGAUCUACAAAAAAGUCAGUGCGGGCGUAUCUGUCAAAUGUACGGUUAAAGGGUUAUUUCGCAUUUUUUGCCGAUCCGCACACAUUGGAAUUUCGCUAACUCCUCCGAAGGCUUUCGUUCCACCGGCACCACAUUUGCUCAGGCCAAUCUACACCCCAUGGCCAUUAAAAGUUAUUCAAAUCAUGACGCUGCACCCCACGGUUUAGGUUCUAGGGGGCGCCAAAGAUAACCCUAAAAUCCACAUUUUUAAAAGUCUUAUAACUUUUUAUUUUUCCCCUCACUGGCCUCCAAGUUUUCUAGGAUGAUGCAAUGUCCAGCCAUCAACACAUUUGUGAAGGAAUUUUUACUCCCCAAAAGAGCGCCCCCCCAUGGCAGGAGAAAAAAGUCCAUUUUUUUCUUGUCCCCUAAGGUGAAAAUACACAUUGUUGAGUGUCACGCCUGUACGCUUUGUCAAAAUGACACAAAAAUUGACACACACAUGUAUCUCAAUAAGAUCUACAAAAAAGUCCGUGCGCGCGUAUCUGUCUAAUGUAUGGUUAAAGGGUUAUUCCGAAUUUUUUGCCGAUUCGCACACAUUGGAAUUUCGCUAACUCCUCCGAAGGCUUUCGUUCCACCGGCACCACAUUUGCUCAGGCCAAAUUACACCCCAUGGCCAUUAAAAGUUAUUCAAAUCAUGACGCUGCACCCCACGGUUUACGUUCUAGGGGGCGCCAAAGAUAACCCAAAAAUCCACAUUUUUAAAAGUCUUAUAACUUUUUAUUUUUGUCCUCACUGGCCUCCAAGUUUUCUAGGAUGAUGCAAUGUCCAGCCAUCAACACAUUUGUGAAGGAAUUUUUACUCCCCAAAAGAGCGCCCCCCCAUGGCAGGAGAAAAAAGUCCAUUUUUUUCUUGUCCCCUAAGGUGAAAAUACACAUUGUUGAGUGUCACGCCUGUACGCUUUGUCAAAAUGACACAAAAAUUGACACACACAUGUAUCUCAAUAAGAUCUACAAAAAAGUCCAUGCGCGCGUAUCUGUCUAAUGUACGGUUAAAGGGUUAUUCCGAAUUUUUUGCCGAUUCGCACACAUUGGAAUUUCGCUAACUCCUCCGAAGGCUUUCGUUCCACCGGCACCACAUUUGCUCAGGCCAAAUUACACCCCAUGGCCAUUAAAAGUUAUUCAAAUCAUGACGCUGCACCCCACGGUUUACGUUCUAGGGGGCGCCAAAGAUAACCCAAAAAUCCACAUUUUUAAAAGUCUUAUAACUUUUUAUUUUUGUCCUCACUGGCCUCCAAGUUUUCUAGGAUGAUGCAAUGUCCAGCCAUCAACACAUUUGUGAAGGAAUUUUUACUCCCCAAAAGAGCGCCCCCCCAUGGCAGGAGAAAAAAGUCCAUUUUUUUCUUGUCCCCUAAGGUGAAAAUACACAUUGUUGAGUGUCACGCCUGUACGCUUUGUCAAAAUGACACAAAAAUUGACACACACAUGUAUCUCAAUAAGAUCUACAAAAAAGUCAAAGAGCGCGUAUCUGUAUAAUGUACGGUAAAAGGGCUAUUUUGCAUUUUUUGCCGAUUCGCACACAUUGGAAUUUCGCUAACUCCUCCUAAGGCUUUCGUCCCACUGACACCAAAUUUGCUCAGGCCAAUCUACACUCCAUGGCCAUUCAAAGUUGUAAAAAUCAUGACGCUGCACCCCACGGUUUACGUUUUAGGGGGCGCCAAAGAUGACCCAAAUAUACAUUACAGUAGACAAAGUAGUUUUGCCCACUGAGUGGCGCCAAAGGGACUUGUCUGUGGAGUCUGUGAGUCACUAUUGGCCGUUUUUGACUACUUUAGAUUUUACCUUUAUAUUUCCUCUUACAAAAUUUUUACCUUGCCUUGCCUGGUAUCAUUUUUUUCAGCACAACCUCACCUGUGUCAAUUUACAGUUAUUUUAUCAUUUUGACAUACUAUAUUUACACAUUGGACCCAAAUUCACACACAAAACAUAAAAUCCGAGUGGAAAAAAGUAACGUUUUUACUGUGAAAACCACAAAUAUGUGUGAUGAACUGUUUUUAAAACUUAAACUUCAAAUAAAAAUUGUAAACUUCAAAACAUAUGCAAAUUUUUAACAAAGAACAUAGUAAUUUACCUCUAUUGACAUCAAAAUGCAGGCAAUGGCCCAGGUGUUCUUUGUAAAAUUAUUUACAAAACACUGUAUAGUCUCACAAAUGUCACUUUUUAUUUAUGCCACUACAAAAAAACAUGAUGUAAAUGAUGCAUGAUGUAAAACAUGAUGUAAAAAACUUGUGUAGAUCCUCCUCUAUGUUAGUCCAUGUGUAAUUUUUCCAUAAUUCUUUGUUUUUUGCAGCAUUUUUGUUAGUGUAACUGCAGAUUGUGCUGACAGUGUCUAUGGCAAAAAAAAAAAAAAAAACUGAAAAUGCCUCAACAUGAACCCCUGGUGGUCUCUGAGGGUGAAACCUGCUAACUGCUGCAGCUCUGUCAGCUUCAGUCUCCCAUGCAGAGCUCGGAGCGCAUGUGUGGCUCUGCACCCUUAGCAGCGUUGCUAACUCCUCAGUAAGGAAAGCCUGCUUCAUGUCAGAGUCUCUAAACUCCAGAAGAAGUCGAUAAAAGUCCCUUUCUUUCUAAAAAAAAGUCGUUAGGGGGUCUGAAAAGUAAUUGAAUCUAACAACAAAGUCGCUAGGUUUGCAACUACGUGUCCCAGACUGCAUCCCUGCUGAGAGUCCCUCCCUCCCUUCUCAUGUUGCAGGAAGAACGUAAGCGCCCGCCCCUUGUCAAUCAGUCACCAUAUAAUUUUGGAUUGGUUGUUGUGGUGAAGUUUUCCACCAAUAGGAGAGAUGUUGUGGUGUGUUUUUUUUUUUCUUUUGGCAAGCCUUUUCCGCCUGUAAGACCUGUCGCUAAUGUGUGCAUGCUAUGUUUUCCUGUCUCAUACAGCGCGAUCGAGCGCCGAACGUGAUCAAAAUAAGCAGAAAAAAAGUAUCGCGGACAUAAUUUAUCAUAACUCUGGUUUUAUUUGGCCUAUCAACACAAUUUAAAAACUGGUAUAUAGGUUGAGGUCCUCACUUUUGAGAUAAGUUGAAACGGAGAGUCAACGAGGCUCCGUCUUGCAGCUACAUCCGGUUAAAUAUGUCAUGUGACUUGAACGCUGGGGAGCGUCAAUCGAAUCGAAUCAAACCUAACUCUCAGAUGAAUCUUCAAAAUUCACCUCAGAAAUAUGCUUAUUAUUCUUCUCAGAGUACUGCAGGAUACACACACACACACACACACACAGACACACACACACACACACGCACACACACACACACACACUCAGAGUCUGUUUUUUAGCACCUGCAAAAACAUGCUAUUUACAUAUUUGACAAGAAUGCAGAGGCUUCCUUUUGCCCCUGAAAAAAAUCAAAUUUCAAACACAACUUGACUGCUCAUUUCUCCAAAAGACAACCAUGAAGCUCCAUCCAAACCUGAAGCAGGCAGUUGGUGCAUGUGUACAGUAACCUGAGGGGAGUGAGGUGACUGCUUCUGAGGAGAACAUGAGCAGUGAAGAUUCACCUUGGAGCUAGAACAGGGACGUGCACAUGAUAAUACAGGGGCAGGGGCUCAAGUUUUUUCCAGUCGUUUAUACAAUAUGGAAAUUAAUGUGAAAUUAAAAGUAUGACUGUCCUGUGUAGGUGACAGUGAUAUCCAAUAGGCUAGGCACUCACGAGGCUGGCUGUGGCAAGUGUAAGUGAAAGCAACACGCACUGGCAGGAAGAACAGCAAACGCCGAUGAAGGAAAAGGGUCUUUGCAGUGAUGGGCGUUACCAGAGAGGGCGAUGGCCAGAGGACGCGAAUGGGACGGGGAGGCAGCGCGUUGGGGGGGGGGGGGCGACACGGCUCGGGCCCGCCAGUGCCCCAACGGGGCCCUAGUCUUUGUUUCUUUCUUAGGGCCCGAGCGUAGCUGCUAAGCAGCUGCGAGAGCCCUCUUGUUCCUGUAGUUUCCUUCUUUUGUUAUUAUUAGGGCCCGAGCGUAGCUGCUAAGCAGCUGCGAGAGCCCUAUUAUUCCCCAAGUGGUUUUUCUUUGUUUCUUUCUUUCUUUCUUUCUUUCUUUCUUCUUUUUCCUCCCCUUUGAACUGGAAAAUGGCCCACUUCCCACUGGCGAAAACUCAUGAAAUUUGGCAGGACGACCGGGCCUGGUGAAAAAUUUGAUAUUCUGAAGUCGCCCAAACAAUAAAAUGCAAAAUGGCUCCAUAGCGCCCCCUAAGGUGGAAAUUCACACUAUUGAUUGUCACGCCUGUACGCUUUGUCAUAUUGACACAAAAAUUGACACACAUAUGUAUCUCAAUAAGAUCUACAAAAAAGUCAGUGCGGCCCUAUCUGUCAAAAUUACGGUUAAAGGGUUAUUCCGCAUUUUUUGCCGAUCCGCACACAUUGGAAUUUCGCUAACUCCUCCGAAGGCUCUCGUUCCACCGGCACCACAUUUGCUCAGGCCAAUCUACACCCCGUGGCCAUUAAAAGUUAUCAAAAUCAUGACGCUGCACCCCACGGUUUAGGUUCUAGGGGGCGCCAAAGAUAACACUAAAAUCCACAUAUUUAAAAGUCUUAUAACUUUUUAUUUUUGUCCUCACUGGCCUCCAAGUUUUCUAGGAUGAUGCAAUGUCCAGCCAUCAACACAUUUGUGAAGGAAUUUUUACUCCCCAAAAGAGCGCCCCCCCAUGGCAGGAGAAAAAAGUCCAUUUUUUCUUGUCCCCUAAGGUGAAAAUACACAUUGUUGAGUGUCACGUCUAUACGCUUUGUCAAAAUGACACAAAAAUUGACACACACAUGUAUCUCAAUAAGAUCUACGAAAAAGUCAAUGCGUGCAUAUCUGUCAAAUGUACAGUUAAAGGGUUAUUCCGCAUUUUUUGCCGAUCCGCACACAUUGGAAUGUGGCUAACUCCUCCUAAGGCUUUCGUUCCACCGGCACCACAUUUGCUCAGGCCAAUCUACACCCCAUGGCCAUUAAAAGUUAUUCAAAUCAUGACGCUGCACCCCACGGUUUAGGUUCUAGGGGGCGCCAAAGAUAACCCUAAAAUCCACAUAUUUAAAAGUCUUAUAACUUUUUAUUUUUGUCCUCACUGGCCUCCAAGUUUUCUAGGAUGAUGCAAUGUCCAGCCAUCAACACAUUUGUGAAGGAAUUUUUACUCCCCAAAAGAGCACCCCCCAUGGCAGGAGAAAAAAGUCCAUUUUUUCUUGUCCCCUAAGGUGAAAAUACAUAUUGUUGAGAUUCACGCCUAUAUGCUUUGUCAUAUUGACACAAAAUUUGACAAUCACGUGCCUUGCCUGGUAUCAUUUUUUUCAGCACAACCUCACCUGUGCGAAUUUACAGUUAUUUUAUCAUGUUGACAUACUGAAUUUACACAAUGGACCCAAAUUCACACACAAAACAUAAAAUCCGAGUGGAAAAAAGUAACAUUUUUACUGUGAAAACCACAAAUAUGUGUGAUGAACUGUUUUUAAAACUUAAACUUCAAAUAAAAAUUGUAAACUUCAAAACAUAUGCAAAUUUUUAACAAAGAACAUAGUGAUUUACCUCUAUUUACAUCAAAAUGCAGGCAAUGGCCCAGGCGUUCUUUGUAAAAUUAUUUACAAAACACUGUAUAGUCUCACAAAUGUCACUUUUUAUUUAUGCCACUACAAAAAAACAUGAUGUAAAUGAUGCAUGAUGUAAAACAUGAUGUAAAAAACUUGUGUAGAUCCUCCUCUAUGUCAGUCCAUGUGUAAUUUUUCCAUAAUUCUUUGUUUUUUGCAGCAUUUUUGUUAGUGUAACUGCAGAUUGUGCUGACAGUGUCUAUGGCACAAAAAAAAAAAAAAUUAAAAUGCCUCAACAUGAACCCCUGGUGGUCUCUGAGGGUGAAACCUGCUAACUGCUGCAGCUCUGUCAGCUUCAGUCUCCCAUGCAGAGCUCUGAGCGCAUGUGUGGCUCUGCACCCUUAGCAGCGUUGCUAACUCCUCAGUAAGGAAAGCCUGCUUCAUGUCAGAGUCUCUAAACUCCAGAAGAAGUCGAUAAAAGUCCCUUUCUUUCUAAAAAAAAGUCGUUAGGGGGUCUGAAAAGUCAUUGAAUCUAACAACAAAGUCGCUAGGUUUGCAACUACGUGUCCCAGACUGCAUCCCUGCUGAGAGUCCCUCCCUCGCUUCUCAUGUUGCAGGAAGAACGUAAGCGCCCGCCCCUUGUCAAUCAGUCACCAUAUAAUUUUGGAUUGGUUGUUGUGGUGAAGUUUUCCACCAAUAGGAGAGAUGUUGUGGUGUGUUUUUUUUUUCUUUUGGCAAGCCUUUUCCGCCUGUAAGACCUGUCGCUAAUGUCUGCAUGCUAUGUUUUCCUGUCUCAUACAGCGCGAUCGAGCGCCGAAUGUGAUCAAAAUAAGCAGAAAAAAGUAUCGCGGACAUAAUUUAUCAUAACUCUGGUUUUAUUUGGCCUAUCAACACAAUUUAAAAACUGGUAUAUAGGUUGAGGUCCUCACUUUUGAGAUAAGUUGAAACGGAGAGUCAACGAGGCUCCGUCUUGCAGCUACAUCCGGUUAAAUAUGUCAUGUGACUUGAACGCACACACAGACACACACACACGCACACACACACACACACACACACACACACACACACACACACUCAGAGUCUGGUUUUUAGCACCUGCAAAAACAUGCCAUUUACAUAUUUGACAAGAAUGCAGAGGCUCCUUUUGCCCCUGAAAAAAAUCAAAUUUCAAACACAACUUGACUGGUCAUUUCUCCAAAAGACAACCAUGAAGCUCCAUCCAAACCUGAAGCAGGCAGUUGGUGCAUGUGUACAGUAACCUGAGGGGAGUGAGGUGAGUGCUUCUGAGGAGAACAUGAGCAGUGAAGAUUCACCUUGGAGCUAGAACAGAGACAUGCACAUGAUUAUACAGGGGCAGGGGCUCAAGUUUUUUCCAGUCGUUUAUACAAUAUGGAAAUUAAUGUGAAAUUAAAACACAAAGUAUUAAUAGAAAGGUAAUGACUGUCCUGUGUAGGUGACAGUGAUAUCGAAUAGGCUAGGCACUCACGAGGCUGGCUGUGGCAAGUGUAAGUGAAAGCAACACGCACUGGCAGGAAGAACAGCAAACGCCGAUGAAGGAAAAGGGUCUUUGCAGUGAUGGGCGUUACCAGAGAGGGCGAUGGCCAGAGGACACAAAUGGGACGGGGAGGCAGCACGUUGGGGGGGGGCGACACGGCUCGGGCCCGCCAGUGCCCCAACGGGGUCCUAGUUAGGGCCCGAGCGUAGCUGCUAAGCAGCUGCGAGAGCCCUCUUGUUCCUGAUGGAUUCUUCUUUUGUUAUUAUUAUUAUUAUUAUUAUUUUUCCUCCGCUUUAAACUGGAAAAUGGCCCACUUCCCACUGGCGAAAACUCAUGAAAUUUGGCAGGACGACCGGGCCUGGUGAAAAAUUCGAUAUUCUGAAGUCGCCCAAACAAUAAAAUGCAAAAUGGCUCCAUAGCGCCCCCUAAGGUGAAAAUUCACACUAUUGACUGUCACGCCUUUACGCUUUGUCAUAUUGACACAAAAAUUGACACACACAUGUAUCUCAAUAAGAUCUACAAAAAAGUCAGUGCGGGCGUAUCUGUCAAAUGUACGGUUAAAGGGUUAUUUCGCAUUUUUUGCCGAUCCGCACACAUUGGAAUUUCGCUAACUCCUCCGAAGGCUUUCGUUCCAACGGCACCACAUUUGCUCAGGCCAAUCUACACCCCAUGGCCAUUAAAAGUUGUACAAAUCAUGACGCUGCACCCCACGGUUUACGUUCUAGGGGGCGCCAAAGAUAACCCAAAAAUCCACAGUCUUAAAAGUCUUAUAACUUUUUAUUUUUGUCCUCACUGGCCUCCAAGUUCUCUAGGAUGAUGCAAUGUCCAGCCAUCAACACAUUUGUGAAGGAAUUUUUACUCCCCAAAUGAGCGCCCCCCAAUGGCAGGAGAAAAAAGUCAAUUUUUUCUUGUCUCCUAAGGCGAAAAUACACAUUGUUGACUGUCACGCCUGUAUGCUUUGUCAAAAUGACACAAAAAUUGACAUACACAUGUAUCUCAAUACGAUCUACGAAAAAGUCAAUGCGAGCGUAUCUGUUCAAUGUACGGUUAAAGGGCUAUUUCGCAUUUUUUGCCGAUUCGCACACAUUGGAAUUUCACUAACUCCUCCUAAAGCUUUUGUCCCAUCGGCUUCAAAUUUGCUCAGGUCAAUCUACACCCCAUGGCCAUUCAAAGUUGUACAAAUCAUGACGCUGCACCCCACGGUUUACGUUCUAGGGGGCGCCAAAGAGGACCCAAAUAUCCACAUUUUUAAAAGUCUUAUAACUUUUUAUUUUUGUCCUCACUGGCCUCCAAGUUCUCUAGGAUGAUGCAAUGUCCAGCCAUCAACACAUUUGUGAAGGAAUUUUUUCUCCCCAAAAGAGCGCCCCCCCAUGGCAGGAGAAAAAGUCAAGUUUUUCCUGCCCAUCGCUCAAUGGCUCAAACUCAUCGCUCUCUCGGCAAAACGGAAAGGAGGAGCAACUUGCCAUUUGGAUAUAUACUAGCUGUGUUUGUGCCCUCACUCAUGGUCCAGACUUUUUUCAAAAAGGACAUGGAGUUUGUCUGCAGCGAGCGUUUUGGUAGAAACUGCGCCUCCCAUUCAUUAUAAUGGUAAAUGACCACAGACAAGUGCGCACACCAUCUUUGGACCUUGAGUGUGACGCGAUCGGGAGGGGUAGGCGGUCGCGCUGGGGGCGGCGCGACACGGCUCGGGCCCGCCAGUGCCCCAACGGGGCCCUAGUUAUUUUUCCUCCCCUUUGAACUGGAAAAUGGCCCACUUCCCACUGGCGAAAACUCAUGAAAUUUGGCAGGACGACCGGGCCUGGUGAAAAAUUUGAUAUUCCGAAGUCGCCCAAACAAGAAAAUGCAAAAUGGCUCCAUAGCGCCCCCUAAGGUGAAAAUUCACACUAUUGACUGUCACGCCUGUACGCUUUGUCAAAAUGACACAAAAAUUGACACACACAUGUAUCUCAAUAAGAUCUACAAAAAAGUCAGUGCGGGCGUAUCUGUCAAAUGUACGGUUAAAGGGUUAUUUCGCAUUUUUUGCCGAUCCGCACACAUUGGAAUUUCGCUAACUCCUCCGAAGGCUUUCGUUCCACCGGCACCACAUUUGCUCAGGCCAAUCUACACCCCAUGGCCAUUAAAAGUUAUUCAAAUCAUGACGCUGCACCCCACGGUUUAGGUUCUAGGGGGCGCCAAAGAUAACCCUAAGAUCCACAUAUUUAAAAGUCUUAUAACUUUUUAUUUUUGCCCUCACUGGCCUCCAAGUUUUCUAGGAUGAUGCAAUGUCCAGCCAUCAACACAUUUGUGAAGGAAUUUUUACUCCCCAAAAGAGCGCCCCCCCAUGGCAGGAGAAAAAAGUCCAUUUUUUCUUGUCCCCUAAGGUGAAAAUACACAUUGUUGAGUGUAACACCUGUACGCUUUGGCAAAAUGACACAAAAAUUGACACACACAUGUAUCUCAAUAAGAUCUACGAAAAAGUCAAUGCGCGCGUAUCUGUCAAAUGUACGGUUAAAGGGUUAUUCCGCAUUUUUUGCCGAUCCGCACACAUUGGAAUUUCGCUAACUCCUCCGAAGGCUUUCGUUCCACCGGCACCACAUUUGCUCAGGCCAAUCUACACCCCAUGGCCAUUAAAAGUUAUUCAAAUCAUGACGCUGCACCCCACGGUUUAGGUUCUAGGGGGCGCCAAAGAUAACCCUAAAAUCCACAUAUUUAAAAGUCUUAUAACUUUUUAUUUUUGUCCUCACUGGCCUCCAAGUUUUCUAGGAUGAUGCAAUGUCCAGCCAUCAACACAUUUGUGAAGGAAUUUUUACUCCCCAAAAGAGCGCCCCCCCCAUGGCAGGAGAAAAAAGUCAAUUUUUUCUUGUCCCCUAAGGUGGAAAUUCACACUAUUGACUGUCACGCCUGUACGCUUUAUCAUAUUGACACAAAAUUUGACAAUCACAUGUAUCUCAAUAAGAUCUACAAAAAAGUCAAUGCGCGCGUAUCUGUCAAAUGUACGGUUAAAGGGCUAUUUUGCAUUUUUUGCCGAUUCGCACACAUUGGAAUGUGGCUAACUCCUCCUAAGGCUUUCGUCCCACUGACACCAAAUUUGCUCAGGCCAAUCUACACCCCAUGGUCAUUCAAAUUUGUAAAAAUCAUGACGCUGCACCCCACGGUUUACGUUCUAGGGGGCGCCAAAGAUGACCCAAAUAUCCACAUUCUUAAAAGAAUCCACAUCCCCCCCCAUCCCCCAACCCCCAUGGCAGGAGAAACAGUCAAGUUUUUCCUGCCCAUCACUCAAUGGCUCAAUCGCAUCACUCUCCCGGCAACACCGUAACAAGGAGCAACUUGCCGUUUGGAUAUAUCCUAGCUGUGUUUGUGCCCUCACUCAUGGUCCAGACUUUUUUCAAAUAGGACAUGUAGUUUGUCUGCAGCGAGUGUUUUGGUAGAAACUGCGCCUCCCAUUCAUUAUAAUGGGAAAUGACCACAGACAAGUGCGCACACCAUCUUUGGACCUUGAGUGUGACGCGAUCGGGAGGGGGAGGCGGUCGCGCUGGGGGCGGCGCAACGCGGCUCGGGCCCGACAGUGCCCCACCGGGGCCCUAGUUAGGGCCCGAGCCAGCUGCAGAGCAGCCGGGCGUAGGCCCUAUUAUUCCCCAAGUGGUUUUUCUUUGUUUCUUUCUUUCUUUUUUCUUUUUCCUCCCCUUUGAACUGGAAAAUGGCCCACUUCCCACUGGCGAAAACUCAUGAAAUUUGGCAGGACGACCGGGCCUGGUGAAAAAUUUGAUAUUCUGAAGUCGCCAGAACAAUAAAAUGCAAAAUGGCUCCAUAGCGCCCCCUAAGGUGAAAAUUCACACUAUUCACUGUCACGACUGUACGCUUUGUCAAAAUGACACAAAAAUUGACACACACAUGUAUCUCAAUAAGAUCUACAAAAAAGUCAGUGCGGCCGUAUCUGUCAAAAUUACGGUUAAAGGGUUAUUUCGCAUUUUUUGCAGAUCUGCACACAUUGGAAUUUCGCUAACUCCUCCGAAGGCUUUCGUUCCACCGGCACCACAUUUGCUCAGGCCAAUCUACACCCCGUGGCCAUUAAAAGUUAUCAAAAUCAUGACGCUGCACCCUAAGGUUUAGGUUCUAGGGGGCGCCAAAGAUAACACUAAAAUCCACAUAUUUAAAAGUCUUAUAACUUUUUAUUUUUGUCCUCACUGGCCUCCAAGUUUUCUAGGAUGAUGCAAUGUCCAGCCAUCAACACAUUUGUGAAGGAAUUUUUACUCCCCAAAAGAGCGCCCCCCCAUGGCAGGAGAAAAAAGUCCAUUUUUUCUUGUCCCCUAAGGUGAAAAUACACAUUGUUGAGUGUCACGCCUAUACGCUUUGUCAAAAUGACACAAAAAUUGACACACACAUGUAACUCAAUAAGAUCUACGAAAAAGUCAAUGCGCGCGUAUCUGUCAAAUGUACGGUUAAAGGGUUAUUCCGCAUUUUUUGCCGAUCCGCACACAUUGGAAUUUCGCUAACUCCUCCUAAGGCUUUCGUUCCACCGGCACCACAUUUGCUCAGGCCAAUCUACACCCCAUGGCCAUUAAAAGUUAUUCAAAUCAUGACGCUGCACCCCACGGUUUAGGUUCUAGGGGGCGCCAAAGAUAACCCUAAAAUCCACAUAUUUAAAAGUCUUAUAACUUUUUAUUUUUGUCCUCACUGGCCUCCAAGUUUUCUAGGAUGAUGCAAUGUCCAGCCAUCAACAAAUUUGUGAAGGAAUUUUUACUCCCCAAAAGAGCGCCCCCCCAUGGCAGGAGAAAAAAGUCCAUUUUUUCUUGUCCCCUAAGGUGAAAAUACAUAUUGUUGAGAUUCACGCCUAUACGCUUUGUCAUAUUGACACAAAAUUUGACAAUCACGUGCCUUGCCUGGUAUCAUUUUUUUCAGCACAACCUCACCUGUGCGAAUUUACAGUUAUUUUAUCAUGUUGACAUACUGAAUUUACACAAUGGACCCAAAUUCACACACAAAACAUAAAAUCCGAGUGGAAAAAAGUAACAUUUUUACUGUGAAAACCACAAAUAUGUGUGAUGAACUGUUUUUAAAACUUAAACUUCAAAUAAAAAUUGUAAACUUCAAAACAUAUGCAAAUUUUUAACAAAGAACAUAGUGAUUUACCUCUAUUUACAUCAAAAUGCAGGCAAUGGCCCAGGCGUUCUUUGUAAAAUUAUUUACAAAACACUGUAUAGUCUCACAAAUGUCACUUUUUAUUUAUGCCACUACAAAAAAACAUGAUGUAAAUGAUGCAUGAUGUAAAACAUGAUGUAAAAAACUUGUGUAGAUCCUCUUGUAUGUCAGUCCAUGUGUAAUUUUUCCAUAAUUCUUUGUUUUUUGCAGCAUUUUUGUUAGUGUAACUGCAGAUUGUGCUGACAGUGUCUAUGGCACAAAAAAAAAAAAUUAAAAUGCCUCAACAUGAACCCCUGGUGGUCUCUGAGGGUGAAACCUGCUAACUGCUGCAGCUCUGUCAGCUUCAGUCUCCCAUGCAGAGCUCUGAGCGCAUGUGUGGCUCUGCACCCUUAGCAGCGUUGCUAACUCCUCAGUAAGGAAAGCCUGCUUCAUGUCAGAGUCUCUAAACUCCAGAAGAAGUCGAUAAAAGUCCCUUUCUUUCUAAAAAAAGUCGUUAGGGGGUCUGAAAAGUCAUUGAAUCUAACAACAAAGUCGCUAGGUUUGCAACUACGUGUCCCAGACUGCAUCCCUGCUGAGAGUCCCUCCCUCCUUCUCAUGUUGCAGGAAGAACGUAAGCGCCCGCCCCUUGUCAAUCAGUCACCAUAUAAUUUUGGAUUGGUUGUUGUGGUGAAGUUUUCCACCAAUAGGAGAGAUGUUGUGGUGUGUUUUUUUUUUCUUUUGGCAAGCCUUUUCCGCCUGUAAGAGCUGUCGCUAAUGUCUGCAUGCUAUGUUUUCCUGUCUCAUACAGCGCGAUCGAGCGCCGAACGUGAUCAAAAUAAGCAGAAAAAAAGUAUCGCGGACAUAAUUUAUCAUAACUCUGGUUUUAUUUGGCCUAUCAACACAAUUUAAAAACUGGUAUAUAGGUUGAGGUCCUCACUUUUGAGAUAAGUUGAAACGGAGAGUCAACGAGGCUCCGUCUUGCAGCUACAUCCGGUUAAAUAUGUCAUGUGACUUGAACGCACACACAGACACACACACGCACACACACACACACACACACACACACACACACACACUCAGAGUCUGGUUUUUAGCACCUGCAAAAACAUGCUAUUUACAUAUUUGACAAGAAUGCAGAGGCUCCUUUUGCCCCUGAAAAAAAUCAAAUUUCAAACACAACUUGACUGCUCAUUUCUCCAAAAGACAACCAUGAAGCUCCAUCCAAACCUGAAGCAGGCAGUUGGUGCAUGUGUACAGUAACCUGAGGGGAGUGAGGUGAGUGCUUCUGAGGAGAACAUGAGCAGUGAAGAUUCACCUUGGAGCUAGAACAGAGACAUGCACAUGAUUAUACAGGGGCAGGGGCUCAAGUUUUUUCCAGUCGUUUAUACAAUAUGGAAAUUAAUGUGAAAUUAAAACACAAAGUAUUAAUAGAAAGGUAAUGACUGUCCUGUGUAGGUGACAGUGAUAUCCAAUAGGCUAGGCACUCACGAGGCUGGCUGUGGCAAGUGUAAGUGAAAGCAACACGCACUGGCAGGAAGAACAGCAAACGCCGAUGAAGGAAAAGGGUCUUUGCAGUGAUGGGCGUUACCAGAGAGGGCGAUGGCCAGAGGACACAAAUGGGACGGGGAGGCAGCACGUUGGGGGGGCGCGACACGGCUCGGGCCCGCCAGUGCCCCAACGGGGUCCUAGUUAUUUUUCCUCCCCUUUGAACUGGAAAAUGGCCCACUUCCCACUGGCGAAAACUCAUGAAAUUUGGCAGGACGACCGGGCCUGGUGAAAAAUUUGAUAUUCCGAAGUCGCCCAAACAAGAAAAUGCAAAAUGGCUCCAUAGCGCCCCCUAAGGUGAAAAUUCACACUAUUGACUGUCACGCCUGUACGCUUUGUCAAAAUGACACAAAAAUUGACACACACAUGUAUCUCAAUAAGAUCUACAAAAAAGUCAGUGCGGGCGUAUCUGUCAAAUGUACGGUUAAAGGGUUAUUUCGCAUUUUUUGCCGAUCCGCACACAUUGGAAUUUCGCUAACUCCUCCGAAGGCUUUCGUUCCACCGGCACCACAUUUGCUCAGGCCAAUCUACACCCCAUGGCCAUUAAAAGUUAUUCAAAUCAUGACGCUGCACCCCACGGUUUAGGUUCUAGGGGGCGCCAAAGAUAACCCUAAGAUCCACAUAUUUAAAAGUCUUAUAACUUUUUAUUUUUGCCCUCACUGGCCUCCAAGUUUUCUAGGAUGAUGCAAUGUCCAGCCAUCAACACAUUUGUGAAGGAAUUUUUACUCCCCAAAAGAGCGCCCCCCAUGGCAGGAGAAAAAAGUCCAUUUUUUCUUGUCCCCUAAGGUGAAAAUACACAUUGUUGAGUGUAACACCUGUACGCUUUGGCAAAAUGACACAAAAAUUGACACACACAUGUAUCUCAAUAAGAUCUACGAAAAAGUCAAUGCGGGCGUAUCUGUUAAAUGUACGGUUAAAGGGUUAUUCUGCAUUUUUUGCCGAUCCGCACACAUUGGAAUUUCGCUAACUCCUCCGAAGGCUUUCGUUCCACCGGCUCCACAUUUGCUCAGGCCAAUCUACACCCCAUGGCCAUUAAAAGUUAUUCAAAUCAUGACGCUGCACCCCACGGUUUAGGUUCUAGGGGGCGCCAAAUAUAACCCUAAAAUCCACAUAUUUAAAAGUCUUAUAACUUUUUAUUUUUGUCCCCACUGGCCUCCAAGUUUUCUAGGAUGAUGCAAUGUCCAGCCAUCGACACAUUUGUGAAGGAAUUUUUACUCGCCAAAAGAGCGCCCCCCCAUGGCAGGAGAAAAAAGUCCAUUUUUUCUUGUCCACUAAGGUGAAAAUACACAUUGUUGAGUGCUACGCCUGUAUGUUUUGUCGUAUUGACACAAAAUUUUACAUACACAUGUAUUUCAAUAAGAUCUUCGAAAAAGUCAAGGGCCAGGUAUCUGUAAAAUGUACGGUUAAAGGGUUAUUUUGCAUUUUUUGCAGAUUCGCACACAUUGGAAUUUCGCUAACUCCUCAGAAGGCUUUCGUUCCACCGGCACCACAUUUGCUCAGGCCAAUCUACACCCCAUGGCCAUUAAAAGUUAUUCAAAUCAUGACGCUGCACCCCACGGUUUAGGUUCUAGGGGGCGCCAAAGAUAACCCUAAAAUCCACAUAUUUAAAAGUCUUAUAACUUUUUAUUUUUGUCCUCACUGGCCUCCAUGUUUUCUAGGAUGAUGCAAUGUCCAGCCAUCAACACAUUUGUGAAGGAGUUUUUCUCGUUAAAAGAGCCCCCCCCAUGGCAGGAGAAUAAAGUCAAGUUUUUCCUGUUCAUCAUUCAAUGGCUCAAACGCACUGCUCUCUCGGCAAAAGCGAAAGGAGGAGCAACUUGCCAUUUGGAUAUAUCUUAGCUGUGUUUGUGCCCUCACUCAUGGUCCAGACUUUUUUCAAAUAGGACAUGGAGUUUUUCUGCAGCGAGCGCUUUGGUAGAAACUGCGCCUCCCGUUCAUUAUAAUGGUAAAUGACCACAAACAAGUGCGCACACCAUCUUUGGACCUUGAGUGUGACGCGAUCGGGUGGGGGAGGCGGUCGCGCUGGGGGCGGCGUGACACGGCUCGGGCCCGCCAGUGCCCCAACGGGGCCCUAGUUUCUUCUUUUUCCUCCCCUUUGAACUGGAAAAUGGCCCACUUCCCACUGGCGAAAACUCAUGAAAUUUGGCAGGACGACCGGGCCUGGUGAAAAAUUUGAUAUUCCGAAGUCGCCCAAACAAGAAAAUGCAAAAUGGCUCCAUAGCGCCCCCUAAGGUGAAAAUUCACACUAUUGACUGUCACGCCUUUAAGCUUUGUCAUAUUGACACAAAAAUUGACACACACAUGUAUCUCAAUAAGAUCUACAAAAAAGUCAGUGCGGGCGUAUCUGUCAAAUGUACGGUGAAAGGGUUAUUCCGCAUUUUUUGCCGAUCCGCACACAUUGGAAUUUCGCUAACUCCUCCGAAGGCUUUCGUUCCACCGGCACCACAUUUGCUCAGGCCAAUCUACACCCCAUGGCCAUUAAAAGUUAUUCAAAUCAUGACGCUGCACCCCACGGUUUAGGUUCUAGGGGGCGCCAAAGAUAACCCUAAAAUCCACAUAUUUCAAAGUCUUAUAACUUUUUAUUUUUGCCCUCACUGGCCUCCAAGUUUUCUAGGAUGAUGCAAUGUCCAGCCAUCAACACAUUUGUGAAGGAAUUUUUAAUCCCCAAAAGAGCGCCCCCCCAUGGCAGGAGAAAAAAGUCCAUUUUUUCUUGUCCCCUAAGGUGAAAAUACACAUUGUUGAGUGUCACGCCUGUACGCUUUGUCAUAUUGACACAAAAUUUGACACACACAUGUAUCUCAAUAAGAUCUACGAAAAAGUCAAUGCGCGCGUAUCUGUCAAAUGUACGGUUAAAGGGUUAUUCCGCAUUUUUUGCUGAUCCGCACACAUUGGAAUUUCGCUAACUCCUCCUAAGGCUUUCGUUCCACCGGCACCACAUUUGCUCAGGCCAAUCUACACCCCAUGGCCAUUAAAAGUUAUUCAAAUCAUGACGCUGCACCCCACGGUUUAGGUUCUAGGGGGCGCCAAAGAUAACCCUAAAAUCCACAUAUUUAAAAGUCUUAUAACUUUUUAUUUUUGUCCUCACUGGCCUCCAAGUUUUCUAGGAUGAUGCAAUGUCCAGCCAUCAACACAUUUGUGAAGGAAUUUUUACUCCCCAAAAGAGCACCCCCCAUGGCAGGAGAAAAAAGUCCAUUUUUUCUUGUCCCCUAAGGUGAAAAUACAUAUUGUUGAGAUUCACGCCUAUAUGCUUUGUCAUAUUGACACAAAAUUUGACAAUCACGUGCCUUGCCUGGUAUCAUUUUUUUCAGCACAACCUCACCUGUGCGAAUUUACAGUUAUUUUAUCAUGUUGACAUACUGAAUUUACACAAUGGACCCAAAUUCACACACAAAACAUAAAAUCCGAGUGGAAAAAAGUAACAUUUUUACUGUGAAAACCACAAAUAUGUGUGAUGAACUGUUUUUAAAACUUAAACUUCAAAUAAAAAUUGUAAACUUCAAAACAUAUGCAAAUUUUUAACAAAGAACAUAGUGAUUUACCUCUAUUUACAUCAAAAUGCAGGCAAUGGCCCAGGCGUUCUUUGUAAAAUUAUUUACAAAACACUGUAUAGUCUCACAAAUGUCACUUUUUAUUUAUGCCACUACAAAAAAACAUGAUGUAAAUGAUGCAUGAUGUAAAACAUGAUGUAAAAAACUUGUGUAGAUCCUCCUCUAUGUCAGUCCAUGUGUAAUUUUUCCAUAAUUCUUUGUUUUUUGCAGCAUUUUUGUUAGUGUAACUGCAGAUUGUGCUGACAGUGUCUAUGGCACAAAAAAAAAAAAAUUAAAAUGCCUCAACAUGAACCCCUGGUGGUCUCUGAGGGUGAAACCUGCUAACUGCUGCAGCUCUGUCAGCUUCAGUCUCCCAUGCAGAGCUCUGAGCGCAUGUGUGGCUCUGCACCCUUAGCAGCGUUGCUAACUCCUCAGUAAGGAAAGCCUGCUUCAUGUCAGAGUCUCUAAACUCCAGAAGAAGUCGAUAAAAGUCCCUUUCUUUCUAAAAAAAAGUCGUUAGGGGGUCUGAAAAGUCAUUGAAUCUAACAACAAAGUCGCUAGGUUUGCAACUACGUGUCCCAGACUGCAUCCCUGCUGAGAGUCCCUCCCUCCCUUCUCAUGUUGCAGGAAGAACGUAAGCGCCCGCCCCUUGUCAAUCAGUCACCAUAUAAUUUUGGAUUGGUUGUUGUGGUGAAGUUUUCCACCAAUAGGAGAGAUGUUGUGGUGUGUUUUUUUUUUUCUUUUGGCAAGCCUUUUCCGCCUGUAAGACCUGUCGCUAAUGUCUGCAUGCUAUGUUUUCCUGUCUCAUACAGCGCGAUCGAGCGCCGAACGUGAUCAAAAUAAGCAGAAAAAAAGUAUCGCGGACAUAAUUUAUCAUAACUCUGGUUUUAUUUGGCCUAUCAACACAAUUUAAAAACUGGUAUAUAGGUUGAGGUCCUCACUUUUGAGAUAAGUUGAAACGGAGAGUCAACGAGGCUCCGUCUUGCAGCUACAUCCGGUUAAAUAUGUCAUGUGACUUGAACGCACACACAGACACACACACACGCACACACACACACACACACACACUCAGAGUCUGGUUUUUAGCACCUGCAAAAACAUGCUAUUUACAUAUUUGACAAGAAUGCAGAGGCUCCUUUUGCCCCUGAAAAAAAUCAAAUUUCAAACACAACUUGACUGGUCAUUUCUCCAAAAGACAACCAUGAAGCUCCAUCCAAACCUGAAGCAGGCAGUUGGUGCAUGUGUACAGUAACCUGAGGGGAGUGAGGUGAGUGCUUCUGAGGAGAACAUGAGCAGUGAAGAUUCACCUUGGAGCUAGAACAGAGACAUGCACAUGAUUAUACAGGGGCAGGGGCUCAAGUUUUUUCCAGUCGUUUAUACAAUAUGGAAAUUAAUGUGAAAUUAAAACACAAAGUAUUAAUAGAAAGGUAAUGACUGUCCUGUGUAGGUGACAGUGAUAUCCAAUAGGCUAGGCACUCACGAGGCUGGCUGUGGCAAGUGUAAGUGAAAGCAACACGCACUGGCAGGAAGAACAGCAAACGCCGAUGAAGGAAAAGGGUCUUUGCAGUGAUGGGCGUUAACAGAGAGGGCGAUGGCCAGAGGACACAAAUGGGACGGGGAGGCAGCACGUUGGGGGGGGGGGGGGGAGACGCGACACGGCUCGGGCCCGCCAGUGCCCCAACGGGGUCCUAGUUAUUAGGGCCCGAGCGUAGCUGCUAAGCAGCUGCGAGAGCCCUCUUGUUCCUGAUGGAUUCUUCUUUCGUUAUUUUUCCUCCGCUUUAAACUGGAAAAUGGCCCACUUCCCACUGGCGAAAACUCAGGAAAUUUGGCAGGACGACCGGGCCUGGUGAAAAAUUUGAUAUUCUGAAGUCGCCCAAACAAAAAAAUGAAAAAUGGCUCCAUAGCGCCCCCUAUGGUGAAAACUCACCUGACGCCUGUACGCUUUGUCAAAAUGACACAAAAUUUGACACACAUGUGUAUCUCAAUAAGAUCUACAAAAAAGUCAGUGCGGGCGUAUCUGUCAAAUGUACGGUUAAAGGGCUUAUUUCGCAUUUUUUGCCGAUCCGCACACAUUGGAAUUUCGCUAACUCCUCCGAAGGCUUUCGUUCCACCGGCACCAAAUUUGCUCAGGCCAAUCUACACCCCAUGGCCAUUAAAAGUUGUACAAAUCAUGACGCUGCACCCCACGGUUUAUGUUCUAGGGGGCGCCAAAAAUAACCCAAAAAUCCACAUUCUUAAAAGUCUUAUAACUUUUUAUUUUUGUCCUCACUGGCCUCCAAGUUUUCUAGGAUGAUGCUAUGUCCAGCCAUCAACACAUUUGUGAAGGAAUUUUUACUCCCCAAAAGAGCGCCCCCACAUGGCAGGAGAAAAAAGUCCAUUUUUUCUUGUCCCCUAAGGUGAAAAUACACAUUGUUGAGUGUCACACCUAUACGCUUUGUCAUAUUGACCCAAAAUUUGACAAUCACGUGUAUCUCAAUAAGAUCUACGAAAAAGUCAAUGGGCACGUAUCUGUAAAAUGUACGGUUAAAGGGUUAUUUCGCAUUUUUUCCCGAUCCGCACACAUUGGAAUUUCGCUAACUCCUCCGAAGGCUUUAGUUCCACCGCCACCAAAUUUGCUCAGGCCAAUCUACACCCCAUGGCCAUUAAAAGUUGUACAAAUCAUGACGCUGCACUCCACGGUUUAGGUUCUAGGGGGCGCCAAAGAUAACCCAAAAAUCCACAUUCUUAAUAGUCUUAUAACUUUUUAUUUUUGUCCUCACUGGCCUCCAAGUUUUCUAGGAUGAUGCAAUGUCCAGCCAUCAACACAUUUGUGAAGGAAUUUUUACUCCCGAAAAGAGCGCCCCCCCAUGGCAGGAGAAAAAAGUCCAUUUUUUCUUGUCCCCUAAGGUGAAAAAACACACUAUUGACUGUCACGCCUGUACGCUUUGUCAAAAUGACACAAAAAUUGACACACACAUGUAUCUCAAUAAGAUCUACAAAAAAGUCAGUGCGGGCGUAUCUGUCAAAUGUACGGUUAAAGGGUUAUUUCGCAUUUUUUGCCGAUCCGCACACAUUGGAAUUUCGCUAACUCCUCCGAAGGCUUUCGUUCCACCGGCACCACAUUUGCUCAGGCCAAUCUACACCCCAUGGCCAUUAAAAGUUAUUCAAAUCAUGACGCUGCACCCCACGGUUUAGGUUCUAGGGGGCGCCAAAGAUAACCCUAAGAUCCACAUAUUUAAAAGUCUUAUAACUUUUUAUUUUUGCCCUCACUGGCCUCCAAGUUUUCUAGGAUGAUGCAAUGUCCAGCCAUCAACACAUUUGUGAAGGAAUUUUUACUCCCCAAAAGAGCGCCCCCCCAUGGCAGGAGAAAAAAGUCCAUUUUUUCUUGUCCCCUAAGGUGAAAAUACACAUUGUUGAGUGUAACACCUGUACGCUUUGGCAAAAUGACACAAAAAUUGACACACACAUGUAUCUCAAUAAGAUCUACGAAAAAGUCAAUGCGCGCGUAUCUGUCAAAUGUACGGUUAAAGGGUUAUUCCGCAUUUUUUGCCGAUCCGCACACAUUGGAAUUUCGCUAACUCCUCCGAAGGCUUUCGUUCCACCGGCACCACAUUUGCUCAGGCCAAUCUACACCCCAUGGCCAUUAAAAGUUAUUCAAAUCAUGACGCUGCACCCCACGGUUUAGGUUCUAGGGGGCGCCAAAGAUAACCCUAAAAUCCACAUAUUUAAAAGUCUUAUAACUUUUUAUUUUUGUCCUCACUGGCCUCCAAGUUUUCUAGGAUGAUGCAAUGUCCAGCCAUCAACACAUUUGUGAAGGAAUUUUUACUCCCAAAGGCGCCCCCCAUGGCAGGAGAAAAAAGUCAAUUUUUUCUUGUCCCCUAAGGUGGAAAUUCACAUUGUUGACUGUCACGCCUAUACGCUUUGUCAAAAUGACACAAAAUUUGACACACACGUGUAUCUCAAUAAGAUCUACGAAAAAGUCAAUGGGCACGUAUCUGUAAAAUGUACGGUUAAAGGGCUAUUUCGCAUUUUUUGCCGAUUCGCACACAUUGGAAUGUGGCUAACUCCUCCUAAGGCUUUCGUCCCACUGACACCAAAUUUGCUCAGGCCAAUCUACACCCCAUGGUCAUUCAAAUUUGUAAAAAUCAUGCCGCUGCACCCCAUGGUUUACGUUCUAGGGGGCGCCAAAGAUGACCCAAAUAUCCACAUUCUUAAAAGAAUCCACCCCCCCCCCCCCCCAAGGCAGGAGAAAAAGUCCAGUUAACCCUGCCCAUCGCUCAAUGGCUCAAUCGCAUCGCUCUCCUGGCAACACCGUAAGGAGGAGCAACUUGCCAUUUGGAUAUAUCCUAGCUGUGUUUGUGCCCUCACUCAUGGUCCAGACUUUUUUCAAAUAGGACAUGUAGUUUGUCUGCAGCGACCGUUUUGGUAGAAACUGCACCUCCCAUUCAUUAUAAUGGGAAAUGACCACAGACAAGUGCGCACACCAUCUUUGGACCUUGAGUGUGAUGCGAUCGUGAGGGGGAGGCGGUCGCGCUGGGGGCGGCGCGACGCGGCUCGGGCCCGACAGUGCCCCACCGGGGCCCUAGUUAUUAGGGCCCGAGCGUAGCUGCUAAGCAGCUGCGAGAGCCCUCUUGUUCCUGCAUGUUUCCUUCUUUAGGGCCCGAGCGUAGCUGCUAAGCAGCUGCGAGAGCCCUCUUGUUCCUGCAUGUUUCCUUCUUUUGUUAUUAUUAGGGCCCGAGCGUAGCUGCUAAGCAGCUGCGAGAGCCCUCUUGUUCCUGCAUGUUUCCUUCUUUUGUUAUUAGGGCCCGAGCCAGCUGCAGAGCAGCCGGGCGUAGGCCCUGUUAUUCCUGUAGGGGUUUUUCUUUGUUUCUUUCUUUCUUCUUUUUCCUCCCCUUUGAACUGGAAAAUGGCCCACUUCCCACUGGCGAAAACUCAGGAAAUUUGGCAGGACGACCGGGCCUGGUGAAAAAUUUGAUAUUCCGAAGUCGCCCAAACAAGAAAAUGCAAAAUGGCUCCAUAGCGCCCCCUAAGGUGAAAAUUCACACUAUUGACUGUCACGCCUGUACGCUUUGUCAAAAUGACACAAAAAUUGACACACACAUGUAUCUCAAUAAGAUCUACAAAAAAGUCAGUGCGGGCGUAUCUGUCAAAUGUACGGUUAAAGGGUUAUUUCGCAUUUUUUGCCGAUCCGCACACAUUGGAAUUUCGCUAACUCCUCCGAAGGCUUUCGUUCCACCGGCACCACAUUUGCUCAGGCCAAUCUACACCCCAUGGCCAUUAAAAGUUAUUCAAAUCAUGACGCUGCACCCCACGGUUUAGGUUCUAGGGGGCGCCAAAGAUAACCCUAAAAUCCACAUUUUUAAAAGUCUUAUAACUUUUUAUUUUUCCCCUCACUGGCCUCCAAGUUUUCUAGGAUGAUGCAAUGUCCAGCCAUCAACACAUUUGUGAAGGAAUUUUUACUCCCCAAAAGAGCGCCCCCCCAUGGCAGGAGAAAAAAGUCCAUUUUUUUCUUGUCCCCUAAGGUGAAAAUACACAUUGUUGAGUGUCACGCCUGUACGCUUUGUCAAAAUGACACAAAAAUUGACACACACAUGUAUCUCAAUAAGAUCUACAAAAAAGUCCAUGCGCGCGUAUCUGUCUAAUGUACGGUUAAAGGGUUAUUCCGAAUUUUUUGCCGAUUCGCACACAUUGGAAUUUCGCUAACUCCUCCGAAGGCUUUCGUUCCACCGGCACCACAUUUGCUCAGGCCAAAUUACACCCCAUGGCCAUUAAAAGUUAUUCAAAUCAUGACGCUGCACCCCACGGUUUACGUUCUAGGGGGCGCCAAAGAUAACCCAAAAAUCCACAUUUUUAAAAGUCUUAUAACUUUUUAUUUUUGUCCUCACUGGCCUCCAAGUUUUCUAGGAUGAUGCAAUGUCCAGCCAUCAACACAUUUGUGAAGGAAUUUUUACUCCCCAAAAGAGCGCCCCCCCAUGGCAGGAGAAAAAAGUCCAUUUUUUUCUUGUCCCCUAAGGUGAAAAUACACAUUGUUGAGUGUCACGCCUGUACGCUUUGUCAAAAUGACACAAAAAUUGACACACACAUGUAUCUCAAUAAGAUCUACAAAAAAGUCCAUGCGCGCGUAUCUGUCUAAUGUACGGUUAAAGGGUUAUUCCGAAUUUUUUGCCGAUUCGCACACAUUGGAAUUUCGCUAACUCCUCCGAAGGCUUUCGUUCCACCGGCACCACAUUUGCUCAGGCCAAAUUACACCCCAUGGCCAUUAAAAGUUAUUCAAAUCAUGACGCUGCACCCCACGGUUUACGUUCUAGGGGGCGCCAAAGAUAACCCAAAAAUCCACAUUUUUAAAAGUCUUAUAACUUUUUAUUUUUGUCCUCACUGGCCUCCAAGUUUUCUAGGAUGAUGCAAUGUCCAGCCAUCAACACAUUUGUGAAGGAAUUUUUACUCCCCAAAAGAGCGCCCCCCCAUGGCAGGAGAAAAAAGUCCAUUUUUUCUUGUCCCCUAAGGUGAAAAUACACAUUGUUGACUGUCACGCCUGUACGCUUUGGCAAAAUGACACAAAAAUUGACAAUCAUGUGUAUCUCAAUUAGAUCUACGAAAAAGUCAAAGAGCGCGUAUCUGUAUAAUGUACGGUAAAAGGGCUAUUUUGCAUUUUUUGCCGAUUCGCACACAUUGGAAUUUCGCUAACUCCUCCUAAGGCUUUCGUCCCACUGACACCAAAUUUGCUCAGGCCAAUCUACACUCCAUGGCCAUUCAAAGUUGUAAAAAUCAUGACGCUGCACCCCACGGUUUACGUUUUAGGGGGCGCCAAAGAUGACCCAAAUAUACAUUACAGUAGACAAAGUAGUUUUGCCCACUGAGUGGCGCCAAAGGGACUUGUCUGUGGAGUCUGUGAGUCACUAUUGGCCGUUUUUGACUACUUUAGAUUUUACCUUUAUAUUUCCUCUUACAAAAUUUUUACCUUGCCUUGCCUGGUAUCAUUUUUUUCAGCACAACCUCACCUGUGUCAAUUUACAGUUAUUUUAUCAUUUUGACAUACUAUAUUUACACAUUGGACCCAAAUUCACACACAAAACAUAAAAUCCGAGUGGAAAAAAGUAACGUUUUUACUGUGAAAACCACAAAUAUGUGUGAUGAACUGUUUUUAAAACUUAAACUUCAAAUAAAAAUUGUAAACUUCAAAACAUAUGCAAAUUUUUAACAAAGAACAUAGUAAUUUACCUCUAUUGACAUCAAAAUGCAGGCAAUGGCCCAGGUGUUCUUUGUAAAAUUAUUUACAAAACACUGUAUAGUCUCACAAAUGUCACUUUUUAUUUAUGCCACUACAAAAAAACAUGAUGUAAAUGAUGCAUGAUGUAAAACAUGAUGUAAAAAACUUGUGUAGAUCCUCCUCUAUGUUAGUCCAUGUGUAAUUUUUCCAUAAUUCUUUGUUUUUUGCAGCAUUUUUGUUAGUGUAACUGCAGAUUGUGCUGACAGUGUCUAUGGCAAAAAAAAAAAAAAAAAAACAAACUGAAAAUGCCUCAACAUGAACCCCUGGUGGUCUCUGAGGGUGAAACCUGCUAACUGCUGCAGCUCUGUCAGCUUCAGUCUCCCAUGCAGAGCUCGGAGCGCAUGUGUGGCUCUGCACCCUUAGCAGCGUUGCUAACUCCUCAGUAAGGAAAGCCUGCUUCAUGUCAGAGUCUCUAAACUCCAGAAGAAGUCGAUAAAAGUCACUUUCUUUCUAAAAAAAAGUCGUUAGGGGGUCUGAAAAGUCAUUGAAUCUAACAACAAAGUCGCUAGGUUUGCAACUACGUGUCCCAGACUGCAUCCCUGCUGAGAGUCCCUCCCUCCCUUCUCAUAUUGCAGGAAGAACGUAAGUUCCCGCCCCUUGUCAAUCAGUCACCAUAUAAUUUUGGAUUGGUUGUUGUGGUGAAGUUUUCCACCAAUAGGAGAGAUGUUGUGGUGUGUUUUUUUUUUCCUUUGGCAAGCCUUUUCCACCUGUAAGACCUGUCGCUAAUGUCUGCAUGCUAUGUUUUCCUGUCUCAUACAGCGCGAUCGAGCGCCGAACGUGAUCAAAAUAAGCAGAAAACAAGUAUCGUGGACAUAAUUUAUCAUAACUCUGGUUUUAUUUGGCCUAUCAACACAAUUUAAAAACUGGUAUAUAGGUUGAGGUCCUCACUUUUGAGAUAAAUUGAAACGGAGAGUCAACGAGGCUCCGUCUUGCAGCUACAUCCGGUUAAAUAUGUCAUGUGACUUGAACGCGCACACACACACACACACACACACACACACACACACAGACACACACACACACGCACACACACACACUCAGAGUCUGGUUUUUAGCACCUGCAAAAACAUGCUAUUGACAUAUUUGACAAGAAUGCAGAGGCUCCUUUUGCCCCUGAAAAAAAUCAUAUUUCAAACACAACUUGACUGGUCAUUUCUCCAAAAGACAACCAUGAAGCUCCAUCCAAACCUGAAGCAGGCAGUUGGUGCAUGUGUACAGUAACCUGAGGGGAGUGAGGUGACUGCUUCUGAGGAGAACAUGAGCAGUGAAGAUUCACCUUAGAGCUAGAACAGAGACGUGCACAUGAUUAUACAGGGGCAGGGGCUCAAGUUUUUUCCAGUUGUUUAUACAAUAUGGAAAUUAAUGUGAAAUUAAAAAACAAAGUAUUAAUAGAAAGGUAAUGACUGUCCUGUGUAGGUGACAGUGAUAUCCAAUAGGCUAGGCACUCACGAGGCUGGCUGUGGCAAGUGUAAGUGAAAGCAACACGCACUGGCAGGAAGAACAGCAAACGCCGAUGAAGGAAAAGGGUCUUUGCAGUGAUGGGCGUUACCAGAGAGGGCGAUGGCCAGAGGACACAAAUGGGACGGGGAGGCAGCGCGUUGGGGGGGGGGGACGCGACACAGCUCGGGCCCGCCAGUGCCCCAACGGGGUCCUAGUUAGGGCCCGAGCCAGCUGCAGAGCAGCCGGGCGUAGAGCCCUAUUAUUCCCCAAGUGGUUUUUCUUUGUUUCUUUCUUUCUUUCUUUAGGGCCCGAGCGUAGCUGCUAAGCAGCUGCGAGAGCCCUAUUAUUCCUGAUGGAUUCUUCUUUCUUCUUCUUCUUAUUAUUUUUCUGCCCCUUUGAACUGGAAAAUGGCCCACUUCCCACUGGUGAAAAGUCAUGAAAUUUGGCAGGACGACCGGGCCUGGUGAAAAAUUCGAUAUUCUGAAGUCGCCCAAAAAAUCAAAUGCAAAAUGGCUCCAUAGCGCCCCCUAAGGUGAAAAAUUCACAUGAUUGAGUGUCACGCCUUUACGCUUUGUCAAAAUGACACAAAAUUUGACACACACGUGUAUCUCAAUAAGAUCUACAAAAAAGUCAGUGCGGGCGUAUCUGUCAAAUGUACGGUUAAAGGGCUAUUUCGCAUUUUUUGCCGAUCCGCACACAUUGGAAUUUCGCUAACUCCUCCGAAGGCUUUCGUUCCACCGGCACCAAAUUUGCUCAGGCCAAUCUACACCCCAUGGCCAUUAAAAGUUGUACAAAUCAUGACGCUGCAUCCCACGGUUUACGUUCUAGGGGGCGCCAAAGAUAACCCAGAAAUCCACAUUCUUAAAAGUCGUAAAACUUUUUAUUUUUGUCCUCACUGGCCUCCAAGUUUUCUAGGAUGAUGCAAUGUCCAGCCAUCAACACAUUUGUGAAGGAAUUUUUACUCCCCAAAAGAGCGCCCCCCCAUGGCAGGAGAAAAAAGUCCAUUUUUUCUUGUCUCCUAAGGCGAAAAUUCACACUAUUGACUGUCACGCCUUUACGCUUUGUCAUAUUGACACAAAAAUUGACACACACAUGUAUCUCAAUAAGAUCUACAAAAAAGUCAGGGUGGGCGUAUCUGUCAAAUGUACGGUGAAAGGGCUAUUUCGCAUUUUUUGCCGAUCCGCACACAUUGGAAUUUCGCUAACUCCUCCGAAGGCUUUCGUUCCAAAGGCACCACAUUUGCUGAGGCCAAUCUACACCCCAUGGCCAUUAAAAGUUGUACAAAUCAUGACGCUGCACCCCACGGUUUACGUUCUAGGGGGCGCCAAAGAUAACCCAAAAAUCCACAGUCUUAAAAGUCUUAUAACUUUUUAUUUUUGUCCUCACUGGCCUCCAAGUUCUCUAGGAUGAUGCAAUGUCCAGCCAUCAACACAUUUGUGAAGGAAUUUUUACUCGCCAAAAGAGCGCCCCCCCAUGGCAGGAGAAAAAAGUCCAUUUUUUCUUGUCUCCUAAGGCGAAAAUACACAUUGUUGACUGUCACGCCUUUACGCUUUGUCAAAAUGACACAAAAUUUGACACACACAUGUAUCUCAAUAAGAUCUACAAAAAAGUCAGUGCGGGCGUAUCUGUAUAAUGUACGGUUAAAGGGUUAUUUCGCAUUUUUUGCCGAUCCGCACACAUUGGAAUUUCGCUAACUCCUCCUAAAUCUUUUGUCCCAUCGGCUUCAAAUUUGCUCAGGUCAAUCUACACCCCAUGGCCAUUCAAAGUUGUACAAAUCAUGACGCUGCACCCCACAGUUUACGUUCUAGGGGGCGCCAAAGAGGACCCAAAUAUCCACAUUUUUAAAAGUCUUAUAACUUUUUAUUUUUGUCCUCACUGGCCUCCAAGUUUUCUAGGAUGAUGCAAUGUCCAGCCAUCAACACAUUUGUGAAGGAAUUUUUUCUCCCCAAAAGAGCGCCCCCCCAUGGCAGGAGAAAAAGUCAAGUUUUUCCUGCCCAUCGCUCAAUGGCUCAAACGCAUCGCUCUCUCUGCAAAACCGAAAGGAGGAGCAACUUGCCAUUUGGAUAUAUACUAGCUGUGUUUGUGCCCUCACUCAUGGUCCAGACUUUUUUCAAAUAGGACAUGUAGUUUGUCUGCAGCGAGCGUUUUGGUAGAAACUGCGCCUCCCAUUCAUUAUAAUGGGAAAUGACCACAGACAAGUGCGCACACCAUCUUUGGACCUUGAGUGUGACGCGAUCGGGAGGGGGAGGCGGUCGCGCUGGGGGCGGCGCGACGCGGCUCGGGCCCGACAGUGCCCCACCGGGGCCCUAGUUAUUAUUAUUUUUCCUCCCCUUUGAACUGGAAAAUGGCCCACUUCCCACUGGCGAAAACUCAUGAAAUUUGGCAGGACGACCGGGCCUGGUGAAAAAUUUGAUAUUCCGAAGUCGCCCAAACAAGAAAAUGCAAAAUGGCUCCAUAGCGCCCCCUAAGGUGAAAAUUCACACUAUUGACUGUCACGCCUGUACGCUUUGUCAAAAUGACACAAAAAUUGACACACACAUGUAUCUCAAUAAGAUCUACAAAAAAGUCAGUGCGGGCGUAUCUGUCAAAUGUACGGUUAAAGGGUUAUUUCGCAUUUUUUGCCGAUCCGCACACAUUGGAAUUUCGCUAACUCCUCCGAAGGCUUUCGUUCCACCGGCACCACAUUUGCUCAGGCCAAUCUACACCCCAUGGCCAUUAAAAGUUAUUCAAAUCAUGACGCUGCACCCCACGGUUUAGGUUCUAGGGGGCGCCAAAGAUAACCCUAAGAUCCACAUAUUUAAAAGUCUUAUAACUUUUUAUUUUUGCCCUCACUGGCCUCCAAGUUUUCUAGGAUGAUGCAAUGUCCAGCCAUCAACACAUUUGUGAAGGAAUUUUUACUCCCCAAAAGAGCGCCCCCCCAUGGCAGGAGAAAAAAGUCCAUUUUUUCUUGUCCCCUAAGGUGAAAAUACACAUUGUUGAGUGUAACGACUGUAUGUUUUGUCGUUUUGACACAAAAUUUUACAUACACGUGUCUUUCAAUAAGAUCUUCGAAAAAGUCAAUGGCCACGUAUCUGUAAAAUGUACGGUUAAAGGGUUAUUUCGCAUUUUUUGCAGAUUCGCACACAUUGGAAUUUCGCUAACUCCUCCGAAGGCUUUCGUUCCACCGGCACCACAUUUGCUCAGGCCAAUGUACACCCCAUGGCCAUUAAAAGUUAUUCAAAUCAUGACGCUGCACCCCACGGUUUAGGUUCUAGGGGGCGCCAAAGAUAACCCUAAAAUCCACAUAUUUAAAAGUCUUAUAACUUUUUAUUUUUGUCCUCACUGGCCUCCAUGUUUUAUAGGAUGAUGCAAUGUCCAGCCAUCAACACAUUUGUGAAGGAGUUUUUUCUCGUUAAAUGAGCGCCCCCCCAUGGCAGGAGAAUAAAGUCAAGUUUUUCCUGUUCAUCAUUCAAUGGCUCAAACGCACUGCUCUCUCGGCAAAAGCGAAAGGAGGAGCAACUUGCCAUUUGGAUAUAUCUUAGCUGUGUUUGUGCCCUCACUCAUGGUCCAGACUUUUUUCAAAUAGGACAUGGAGUUUUUCUGCAGCGAGCGUUUUGGUAGAAACUGCGCCUCCCGUUCAUUAUAAUGGUAAAUGACCACAAACAAGUGCGCACACCAUCUUUGGACCUUGAGUGUGACGCGAUCGGGUGGGGGAGGCGGUCGUGCUGGGGGCAGCGUGACACGGCUCGGGCCCGCCAGUGCCCCAACGGGGCCCUAGUUAGGGCCCGAGCCAGCUGCAGAGCAGCCGGGCGUAGGCCCUAUUAUUCCCCAAGUGGUUUUUCUUUGUUUCUUUCUUUCUUUUUAGGGCCCGAGCGUAGCUGCUAAGCAGCUGCGAGAGCCCUCUUGUUCCUGAUGGAUUCUUCUUUCGUUAUUUUUCCUCCGCUUUAAACUGGAAAAUGGCCCACUUCCCACUGGCGAAAACUCAGAAAAUUUGGCAGGAUGACCGGGCCUGGUGAAAAAUUUGAUAUUCUGAAGUCGUCCAAACAAAAAAAUGAAAAAUGGCUCCAUAGCGCCCCCUAUGGUGAAAACUCACCUGAUGCCUGUACGCUUUGUCAAAAUGACACAAAAUUUGACACACAUGUGUAUCUCAAUAAGAUCUACGAAAAAGUCAGUGCGGGCGUAUCUGUCAAAUGUACGGUUAAAGGGCUAUUUCGCUUUUUUUGCCGAUCCGCACACAUUGGAAUUUCGCUAACUCCUCCGAAGGCUUUCGUUCCACCGGCACCAAAUUUGCUCAGGCCAAUCUACACCCCAUGGCCAUUAAAAGUUGUACAAAUCAUGACGCUGCACCCCACGGUUUAGGUUCUAGGCGGCGCCAAAGAUAACCCAAAAAUCCACAUUCUUAAAAGUCUUAUAACUUUUUAUUUUUGUCCUCACUGGCCUCCAAGGUUUCUAGGAUGAUGCAAUGUCCAGCCAUCAACACAUUUGUGAAGGAAUUUUUACUCCCCAAAAGAGCGCCCCCCCAUGGCAGGAGAAAAAAGUCAAUUUUUUCUUGUCCCCUAAGGUAAAAAUACACAUUGUUGAGUGUCACGCCUAUACACUUUGUCAUAUUGACAGACAAUUUGACAAUCACGUGUAUCUCAAUAAGAUCUACAAAAAAGUCAAUAGGCACGUAUAUGUCAAAUGUACGGUUAAAGGGCUAUUUCGCAUUUUUUGCCGAUUCGCACACAUUGGAAUGUGGCUAUCUCCUCCUAAGGCUUUCGUCCCACUGAUACCAAAUUUGCUCAGGGCAAUCUACACCCCAUGCCCAUUCAAAGUUGUAAAAAUCAUGCCGCUGCACCCCACGGUUUACGUUCUAGGGGGCGCCAAAGAUGACCCAAAAAUCCACAUUCUUAAAAGUCUUUUUGGUCACUGCAGGAGUACAGAGUACUGCAAGAUACACACACAUACACACACACACACACACACACACACACACACACACACACACACACACACACACACUCAGAGUCUGUUUUUUAGCACCUGCAAAAACAUGCUGUUUACAUAUUUGACAAGAAUGCAGAGGCUUCCUUUUGCCCCUGAAAAAAAUCAAAUUUCAAACACAACUUGACUGUUCAUUUCUCCAAAUGACAACCAUGAAGCUCCAUCCAAACCUGAAGCAGGCAGUUGGUGCAUGUGUACAGUAACCUGAGGGGAGUGAGGUGACUGCUUCUGAGGAGAACAUGAGCAGUGAAGAUUCACCUUGGAGCGAGAACAGGGACGUGCACAUGAUUAUGCAGGGGCAGGGGCUCAAGUUUUUUCCAGUCGUUUAUACAAUAUGGAAAUUAAUGUGAAAUUAAAAAACAAAGUAUUAAUAGAAAGGUAAUGACUGUCCUGUGUAGGUGACAGUAAUAUCCAAUAGGCUAGGCACUCACGAGGCUGGCUGUGGCAAGUGUAAGUGAAAGCAACACGCACUGGCAGGAAGAACAGCAAACGCCGAUGAAGGAAAAGGGUCUUUGCAGUGAUGGGCGUUACCAGAGAGGACGAUGGCCAGAGGACGCGAAUGGGACGGGGAGGCAGCGCGUUGGGGGGGGGGGCGCGACACAGCUCGGGCCCGCCAGUGCCCCAACGGGGCCCUAGUUUCUUUUUCCUCCCCUUUGAACUGGAAAAUGGCCCACUUCCCACUGGCGAAAACUCAUGAAAUUUGGCAGGACGACCGGGCCUGGUGAAAAAUUCGAUAUUCUGAAGUCGCCAAAACAAUAAAAUGCAAAAUGGCUCCAUAGCGCCCCCUAAGGUGGAAAUUCACACUAUUGACUGUCACGCCUGUACGCUUUGUCAUAUUGACACAAAAAUUGACACACACAUGUAUCUCAAUAAGAUCUACAAAAAAGUCAGUGCGGCCGUAUCUGUCAAAAUUACGGUUAAAGGGUUAUUUCGCAUUUUUUGCCGAUCCGCACACAUUGGAAUUUCGCUAACUCCUCCGAAGGCUUUCGUUCCACCGGCACCACAUUUGCUCAGGCCAAUCUACACCCCGUGGCCAUUAAAAGUUAUCAAAAUCAUGACGCUGCACCCCAAGGUUUAGGUUCUAGGGGGCGCCAAAGAUAACACUAAAAUCCACAUAUUUAAAAGUCUUAUAACUUUUUAUUUUUGUCCUCACUGGCCUCCAAGUUUUCUAGGAUGAUGCAAUGUCCAGCCAUCAACACAUUUGUGAAGGAAUUUUUACUCCCCAAAAGAGCGCCCCCCAUGGCAGGAGAAAAAAGUCCAUUUUUUCUUGUCCCCUAAGGUGAAAAUACACAUUGUUGAGUGUCACGCCUAUACGCUUUGUCAAAAUGACACAAAAAUUGACACACACAUGUAACUCAAUAAGAUCUACAAAAAAGUCCAUGCGCGCGUAUCUGUCAAAUGUACAGUUAAAGGGUUAUUCCGCAUUUUUUGCCGAUACGCACACAUUGGAAUUUCGCUAACUCCUCCGAAGGCUUUCGUUCCACCGGCACCACAUUUGCUCAGGCCAAUCUACACCCCAUGGCCAUUAAAAGUUAUUCAAAUCAUGAUGCUGCACCCCAUGGUUUAGGUUCUAGGGGGCGCCAAAAAUAACCCAAAAAUCCACAUUCUUAAAUGUUUUAUAACUUUUUAUUUUUGUCCUCACUGGCCUCCAAGUUUUCUAGGAUGAUGCAAUGUCCAGCCAUCAACACAUUUGUGAAGGAAUUUUUACUCCCUUAAAGAGCGCCCCCCCAUGGUAGGAGAAAAAAGUCAAUUUUUUCUUGUCCCCUUACAUAAAAAUACACAUUGUUGAGUGUCACGCCUGAACGCUUUGUCAUAUUGACACAAAAAUUGACAAUCAUGUGUAUCUCAAUUAGAUCUACGAAAAAGUCAAAGAGCGCGUAUCUGUAUAAUGUACGGUUAAAGGGCUAUUUUGCAUUUUUUGCCGAUUCGCACACAUUGGAAUGUGGCUAUCUCCUCCUAAGGCUUUCGUCCCACCGAUACCAAAUUUGCUCAGGGCAAUCUACACCCCAUGCCCAUUCAAAGUUGUAAAAAUCAUGACGCUGCACCCCACGGUUUACGUUCUAGGGGGCGCCAAAGAUGACCCAAAAAUCCACAUUCUUAAAAGUCAUUUUGGCCACUGCAGGAGUACAGAGUACUGCAGUUCUAGGGGGCGCCAAAGAUGACCCAAAAAUCCACAUUCUUAAAAGUCUUUUUGGCCACUGCAGGAGUACAGAGUACUGCAGGAUACACACACAUAUACACACACGCCAACAUACACACACACACACACACACACACACACACACACAGACACACACACACACUCAGAGUCUGUUUUUUAGCACCUGCAAAAACAUGCUGUUUACAUAUUUGACAAGAAUGCAGAGGCUUCCUUUUGCCCCUGAAAAAAAUCAAAUUUCAAACACAACUUGACUGUUCAUUUCUCCAAAAGACAACCAUAAAGCUCCAUUUCAAACCUGAAGCAGAUAGUUGGUGCAUGUGUACAGUAACCUGAGGGGAGUGAGGUGACUAUUUCUGAGGAGAACAUGAGCAGUGAAGAUUCACCUUGGAGCUAGAACAGGGACGUGCACAUGAUUAUACAGGGGCAGGGGCUCAAGUUUUUUCCAGUCAUUUAUACAAUAUGGAAAUUAAUGUGAAAUUAAACCACAAAUAUGUGUGAUGAACUGUUUUUAAAACUUAAACUUCAAAUAAAAAUUGUAAACUUCAAAACAUAUGCAAAUUUUUAACAAAGAACAUAGUAAUUUACCUCUAUUUACAUCAAAAUGCAGGCAAUGGCCCAGGCGUUCUUUGUAAAAUUAUUUACAAAACACUGUAUAGUCUCACAAAUGUCACUUUUUAUUUAUGCCACUACAAAAAAACAUGAUGUAAAUGAUGCAUGAUGUAAAACAUGAUGUAAAAAACUUGUGUAGAUCCUCCUCUAUGUCAGUCCAUGUGUAAUUUUUCCAUAAUUCUUUGUUUUUUGCAGCAUUUUUGUUAGUGUAACUGCAGAUUGUGCUGACAGUGUCUAUGGCACAAAAAAAAAAAAAAUUAAAAUGCCUCAACAUGAACCCCUGGUGGUCUCUGAGGGUGAAACCUGCUAACUGCUGCAGCUCUGUCAGCUUCAGUCUCCCAUGCAGAGCUCUGAGUGCAUGUGUGGCUCUGCACCCUUAGCAGCGUUGCUAACUCCUCAGUAAGGAAAGCCUGCUUCAUGUCAGAGUCUCUAAACUCCAGAAGAAGUCGAUAAAAGUCACUUUCUUUCUAAAAAAAAGUCGUUAGGGGGUCUGAAAAGUCAUUGAAUCUAACAACAAAGUCGCUAGGUUUGCAACUACGUGUCCCAGACUGCAUCCCUGCUGAGAGUCCCUCCCUCCCUUCUCAUGUUGCAGGAAGAACGUAAGCGCCCGCCCCUUGUCAAUCAGUCACCAUAUAAUUUUGGAUUGGUUGUUGUGGUGAAGUUUUCCACCAAUAGGAGAGAUGUUGUGGUGUGUUUUUUUUUUCCUUUGGCAAGCCUUUUCCGCCUGUAAGACCUGUCGCUAAUGUCUGCAUGCUAUGUUUUCCUGUCUCAUACAGCGCGAUCGAGCGCCGAACGUGAUCAAAAUAAGCAGAAAAAAAGUAUCGCGGACAUAAUUUAUCAUAACUCUGGUUUUAUUUGGCCUAUCAACACAAUUUAAAAACUGGUAUAUAGGUUGAGGUCCUCACUUUUGAGAUAAGUUGAAACGGAGAGUCAACGAGGCUCCGUCUUGCAGCUACAUCCGGUUAAAUAUGUCAUGUGAUUUGAACGCACACAUAGACACACACACACACGCACACACACACACACACACACACACACACACACACACACACACUCAGAGUCUGGUUUUUAGCACCUGCAAAAACAUGCUAUUUACAUAUUUGACAAGAAUGCAGAGGCUCCUUUUGCCCCUGAAAAAAAUCAAAUUUCAAAUACAACUUGACUGGUCAUUUCUCCAAAAGACAACCAUGAAGCUCCAUCCAAACCUGAAGCAGGCAGUUGGUGCAUGUGUACAGUAACCUGAGGGGAGUGAGGUGAGUGCUUCUGAGGAGAACAUGAGCAGUGAAGAUUCACCUUGGAGCUAGAACAGAGACAUGCACAUGAUUAUACAGGGGCAGGGGCUCAAGUUUUUUCCAGUCGUUUAUACAAUAUGGAAAUUAAUGUGAAAUUAAAACACAAAGUAUUAAUAGAAAGGUAAUGACUGUCCUGUGUAGGUGACAGUGAUAUCCAAUAGGCUAGGCACUCACGAGGCUGGCUGUGGCAAGUGUAAGUGAAAGCAACACGCACUGGCAGGAAGAACAGCAAACGCCGAUGAAGGAAAAGGGUCUUUGCAGUGAUGGGCGUUACCAGAGAGGGCGAUGGCCAGAGGACACAAAUGGGACGGGGAGGCAGCACGUUGGGGGGGGGGGGGGGGGGAGACGCGACACGGCUCGGGCCCGCCAGUGCCCCAACGGGGUCCUAGUUGUUUCUUUUUAGGGCCCGAGCGUAGCUGCUAAGCAGCUGCGAGAGCCCUAUUAUUCCCCAAGUGGUUUUUCUUUGUUUCUUUAGGGCCCGAGCGUAGCUGCUAAGCAGCUGCGAGAGCCCUCUUGUUCCUGCAUGUUUCCUUCUUUCGUUAUUAUUUUUCCUCCGCUUUAAACUGGAAAAUGGCCCACUUCCCACUGGCGAAAACUCAGGAAAUUUGGCAGGACGACCGGGCCUGGUGAAAAAUUCGAUAUUCUGAAGUCGCCCAAACAAUAAAAUGCAAAAUGGCUCCAUAGCGCCCCCUAAGGUGAAAAUUCACAUGACGGCUGUACGCUUUGUCAUAUUGACACAAAAAUUGACACACACAUGUAUCUCAAUAAGAUCUACAAAAAAGUCAGUGCGGGCGUAUCUGUCAAAUGUACGGUUAAAGGGUUAUUUCGCAUUUUUUGCAGAUCCGCACACAUUGGAAUUUCGCUAACUCCUCCGAAGGCUUUUGUUCCACCGGCACCACAUUUGCUCAGGCCAAUCUACACUCCAUGGCCAUUCAAAGUUGUACAAAUCAUGAUGCUGCACCCCAUGGUUUAGGUUCUAGGGGGCGCCAAAAAUAACCCAAAAAUCCACAUUCUUAAAAGUUUUAUAACUUUUUUUUUUUGUCCUCACUGGCCUCCAAGUUUUCUAGGAUGAUGCAAUGUCCAGCCAUCAACACAUUUGUGAAGGAAUUUUUACUCCCCAAAAGAGCGCCCCCCCCAUGGCAGGACAAAAAAGUCAAAUUUUUCUUGUCCCCUAAGGUGAAAAUACACAUUGUUGAGAUUCACGCCUGUACGCUUUGUCAUAUUGACAAAAAAUUUGACACACACGUGUAUCUCAAUAAGAUCUACGAAAAAGUCAAUGCGCGCGUAUCUGUAAAAUGUACGGCUAAACGGCUAUUUUGCAUUUUUUGCCGAUUCGCACACAUUGGAAUGUGGCUAAUUCCUCCUAAGGCUUUCGUCCCACUGACACCAAAUUUUCUCAGGCCAAUCUACACCCCAUGGCCAUUCAAAGUUGUAAAAAUCAUGCCGCUGCACCCCACGGUCUACGUUCUAGGGGGCGCCAAAGAGGACCCAAAUAUCCACAUUUUUAAAAGUCUUAUAACUUUUUAUUUUUGUCCUCACUGGCCUCCAAGUUUUCUAGGAUGAUGCAAUGUCCAGCCAUCAACACAUUUGUGAAGGAUUUUUUUCUCCCCAAAAGAGCGCCCCCCCAUGGCAGGAGAAAAAGUCAAGUUUUUCCUGCCCAUCGCUCAAUGGCUCAAACGCAUCGCUCUCUCGGCAUAACCGAAAGGAUGAGCAACUUGCCAUUUGGAUAUAUACUUGCUGUGUUUGUGCCCUCACUCAUGGUCCAGACUUUUUUCAAAAAGGACAUGGAGUUUGUCUGCAGCGAGCGUUUUGGUAGAAACUGCGCCUCCCAUUCAUUAUAAUGGUAAAUGACCACAGACAAGUGCGCACACCAUCUUUGGACCUUGAGUGUGACGCGAUCGGGAGGGGUAGGCGGUCGCGCUGGGUGCGGCGCGACACAGCUCGGGCCCGCCAGUGCCCCAACGGGGUCCUAGUUAGGGCCCGAGCGUAGCUGCUAAGCAGCUGCGAGAGCCCUAUUAUUCCCCAAGUGGUUUUUCUUUGUUUCUUUUUUCUUUUUCCUCCCCUUUGAACUGGAAAAUGGCCCACUUCCCACUGGCGAAAACUCAUGAAAUUUGGCGGGACGACCGGGCCUGGUGAAAAAUUUGAUAUUCCGAAGUCGCCCAAACAAGAAAAUGCAAAAUGGCUCCAUAGCGCCCCCUAAGGUGAAAAUUCACACUAUUGACUGUCACGCCUGUACGCUUUGUCAAAAUGACACAAAAAUUGACACACACAUGUAUCUCAAUAAGAUCUACAAAAAAGUCAGUGCGGGCGUAUCUGUCAAAUUUACGGUUAAAGGGUUAUUUCGCAUUUUUUGCCGAUCCGCACACAUUGGAAUUUCGCUAACUCCUCCGAAGGCUUUCGUUCCACCGGCACCACAUUUGCUCAGGCCAAUCUACACCCCAUGGCCAUUAAAAGUUAUUCAAAUCAUGACGCUGCACCCCACGGUUUAGGUUCUAGGGGGCGCCAAAGAUAACCCUAAAAUCCACAUAUUUAAAAGUCUUAUAACUUUUUAUUUUUGCCCUCACUGGCCUCCAAGUUUUCUAGGAUGAUGCAAUGUCCAGCCAUCAACACAUUUGUGAAGGAAUUUUUACUCCCCAAAAGAGCGCCCCCCCAUGGCAGGAGAAAAAAGUCCAUUUUUUCUUGUCCCCUAAGGUGAAAAUACACAUUGUUGAGUGUCACGCCUGUACUCUUUGUCAAAAUGACACAAAAAUUGACACACACAUGUAUCUCAAUAAGAUCUACAAAAAAGUCAAUGCGCGCGUAUCUGUCAAAUGUACGGUUAAAGGGUUAUUCCGCAUUUUUUGCCGAUUCGCACACAUUGGAAUUUCGCUAACUCCUCCGAAGGCUUUCGUUCCACCGGCACCACAUUUGCUCAGGCCAAUCUACACCCCAUGGCCAUUAAAAGUUAUUCAAAUCAUGACGCUGCACCCCACGGUUUACGUUCUAGGGGGCGCCAAAGAUAACCCAAAAAUCCACAUUUUUAAAAGUCUUAUAACUUUUUAUUUUUGUCCUCACUGGCCUCCAAGUUUUCUAGGAUGAUGCAAUGUCCAGCCAUCAACACAUUUGUGAAGGAAUUUUUACUCCCCAAAAGAGCGCCCCCCCAUGGUAGGAGAAAAAAGUCAAUUUUUUCUUGUCCCCUUACAUGAAAAUACACAUUGUUGAGUGUCACGCCUGAACGCUUUGUCAUAUUGACACAAAAAUUGACACACACAUGUAUCUCAAUAAGAUCUACGAAAAAGUCAAAGAGCGCGUAUCUGUAUAAUGUACGGUUAAAGGGCUAUUUUGCAUUUUUUGCCGAUUCGCACACAUUGGAAUGUGGCUAUCUCCUCCUAAGGCUUUCGUCCCACCGAUACCAAAUUUGCUCAGGGCAAUCUACACCCCAUGCCCAUUCAAAGUUGUAAAAAUCAUGACGCUGCACCCCACGGUUUACGUUCUAGGGGGCGCCAAAGAUGACCCAAAAAUCCACAUUCUUAAAAGUCAUUUUGGCCACUGCAGGAGUACAGAGUACUGCAGUUCUAGGGGGCGCCAAAGAUGACCCAAAAAUCCACAUUCUUAAAAAUCUUUUUGGCCACUGCAGGAGUACAGAGUACUGCAGGAUACACACACAUAUACACACACGCCAACAUACACACACACACACACACACACACACACACACACACACACACAGACACACACACACACUCAGAGUCUGUUUUUUAGCACCUGCAAAAACAUGCUGUUUACAUAUUUGACAAGAAUGCAGAGGCUUCCUUUUGCCCCUGAAAAAAAUCAAAUUUCAAACACAACUUGACUGUUCAUUUCUCCAAAAGACAACCAUGAAGCUCCAUUUCAAACCUGAAGCAGAUAGUUGGUGCAUGUGUACAGUAACCUGAGGGGAGUGAGGUGACUAUUUCUGAGGAGAACAUGAGCAGUGAAGAUUCACCUUGGAGCUAGAACAGGGACGUGCACAUGAUUAUACAGGGGCAGGGGCUCAAGUUUUUUCCAGUCAUUUAUACAAUAUGGAAAUUAAUGUGAAAUUAAACCACAAAUAUGUGUGAUGAACUGUUUUUAAAACUUAAACUUCAAAUAAAAAUUGUAAACUUCAAAACAUAUGCAAAUUUUUAACAAAGAACAUAGUAAUUUACCUCUAUUUACAUCAAAAUGCAGGCAAUGGCCCAGGCGUUCUUUGUAAAAUUAUUUACAAAACACUGUAUAGUCUCACAAAUGUCACUUUUUAUUUAUGCCACUACAAAAAAACAUGAUGUAAAUGAUGCAUGAUGUAAAACAUGAUGUAAAAAACUUGUGUAGAUCCUCCUCUAUGUCAGUCCAUGUGUAAUUUUUCCAUAAUUCUUUGUUUUUUGCAGCAUUUUUGUUAGUGUAACUGCAGAUUGUGCUGACAGUGUCUAUGGCACAAAAAAAAAAAAAAUUAAAAUGCCUCAACAUGAACCCCUGGUGGUCUCUGAGGGUGAAACCUGCUAACUGCUGCAGCUCUGUCAGCUUCAGUCUCCCAUGCAGAGCUCUGAGCGCAUGUGUGGCUCUGCACCCUUAGCAGCGUUGCUAACUCCUCAGUAAGGAAAGCCUGCUUCAUGUCAGAGUCUCUAAACUCCAGAAGAAGUCGAUAAAAGUCCCUUUCUUUCUAAAAAAAAGUCGUUAGGGGGUCUGAAAAGUCAUUGAAUCUAACAACAAAGUCGCUAGGUUUGCAACUACGUGUCCCAGACUGCAUCCCUGCUGAGAGUCCCUCCCUCCCUUCUCAUGUUGCAGGAAGAACGUAAGCGCCCGCCCCUUGUCAAUCAGUCACCAUAUAAUUUUGGAUUGGUUGUUGUGGUGAAGUUUUCCACCAAUAGGAGAGAUGUUGUGGUGUGUUUUUUUUUCUUUUGGCAAGCCUUUUCCGCCUGUAAGACCUGUCGCUAAUGUCUGCAUGCUAUGUUUUCCUGUCUCAUACAGCGCGAUCGAGCGCCGAACGUGAUCAAAAUAAGCAGAAAAAAAGUAUCGCGGACAUAAUUUAUCAUAACUCUGGUUUUAUUUGGCCUAUCAACACAAUUUAAAAACUGGUAUAUAGGUUGAGGUCCUCACUUUUGAGAUAAGUUGAAACGGAGAGUCAACGAGGCUCCUUCUUGCAGCUACAUCCGGUUAAAUAUGUCAUGUGACUUGAACGCACACACAGACACACACACACGCACACACACACACACACACACACUCAGAGUCUGGUUUUUAGCACCUGCAAAAACAUGCUAUUUACAUAUUUGACAAGAAUGCAGAGGCUCCUUUUGCCCCUGAAAAAAAUCAAAUUUCAAACACAACUUGACUGGUCAUUUCUCCAAAAGACAACCAUGAAGCUCCAUCCAAACCUGAAGCAGGCAGUUGGUGCAUGUGUACAGUAACCUGAGGGGAGUGAGGUGAGUGCUUCUGAGGAGAACAUGAGCAGUGAAGAUUCACCUUGGAGCUAGAACAGAGACAUGCACAUGAUUAUACAGGGGCAGGGGCUCAAGUUUUUUCCAGUCGUUUAUACAAUAUGGAAAUUAAUGUGAAAUUAAAACACAAAGUAUUAAUAGAAAGGUAAUGACUGUCCUGUGUAGGUGACAGUGAUAUCCAAUAGGCUAGGCACUCACGAGGCUGGCUGUGGCAAGUGUAAGUGAAAGCAACACGCACUGGCAGGAAGAACAGCAAACGCCGAUGAAGGAAAAGGGUCUUUGCAGUGAUGGGCGUUAACAGAGAGGGCGAUGGCCAGAGGACACAAAUGGGACGGGGAGGCAGCACGUUGGGGGGGGGGAGACGCGACACGGCUCGGGCCCGCCAGUGCCCCAACGGGGUCCUAGUUAGGGCCCGAGCGUAGCUGCUAAGCAGCUGCGAGAGCCCUAUUAUUCCCCAAGUGGUUUUUCUUUGUUUCUUUUUUCUUUUUCCUCCCCUUUGAACUGGAAAAUGGCCCACUUCCCACUGGCGAAAACUCAUGAAAUUUGGCAGGACAACCGGGCCUGGUGAAAAAUUUGAUAUUCUGAAGUCGCCCAAACAAUACAAUGCAAAAUGGCUCCAUAGCGCCCCCUAAGGUGAAAAAUUCACCUGACGCCUGUACGCUUUGUCAAAAUGACACAAAAAUUGACACACACAUGUAUCUCAAUAAGAUCGACAAAAAAGUCAGUGCGGGCGUAUCUGUCAAAUGUACGGUUAAAGGGUUAUUGCGCAUUUUUUGCCGAUACGCACACAUUGGAAUUUCGCUAACUCCUCCGAAGGCUUUCGUUCCACCGGCACCACAUUUGCUCAGGCCAAUCUACACCCCAUGGCCAUUAAAAGUUAUUCAAAUCAUGACGCUGCACCCCACGGUUUAGGUUCUAGGGGGCGCCAAAGAUAACCCUAAAAUCCACAUAUUUCAAAGUCUUAUAACUUUUUAUUUUUGCCCUCACUGGCCUCCAAGUUUUCUAGGAUGAUGCAAUGUCCAGCCAUCAACACAUUUGUGAAGGAAUUUUUACUCCCCAAAAGAGCGCCCCCCCAUGGCAGGAGAAAAAAGUCCAUUUUUUCUUGUCCCAAAAGGUGAAAAUUUACACUAUUGACUGUCACGCCUGUACGCUUUGUCAAAAUGACACAAAAAUUGACACACACAUGUAUCUCAAUAAGAUCUACAAAAAAGUCAGUGUGGCCGUAUCUGUCAAAUGUACGGUUAAAGGGUUAUUUCGCAUUUUUUGCCGAUACGCACACAUUGGAAUUUCGCUAACUCCUCCGAAGGCUUUCGUUCCACCGGCACCACAUUUGCUCAGGCCAAUCUACACCCCGUGGCCAUUAAAAGUUAUCAAAAUCAUGACGCUGCACCCCACGGUUUAGGUUCUAGGGGGCGCCAAAAAUAACCCUAAAAUCCACAUAUUUCAAAGUCUUAUAACUUUUUAUUUUUGUCCUCAC
rnacentral:lncRNA from 1 species